rnacentral:lncRNA from 1 species
GACGACUUGACCCUUACUGUUAGUUGAUCUUUCCACAAAGGCAGAAAUGGCCCCACGUGAUGCCUCGGUAAUUUGCCGAAGAAGCUCAACAUCCUUCAAUAUUCCUUUGUCAUUCCCUCGGUACACAUCUUCUAUGUUUCUACCAACUGUGUUCGCUAGUAUCGAAGGAAGAGAUGAAAUGCCAUCUUCAGGACGGUCGAGUGCAGCAAUGUUAACCAACGUUGCUACGGCUUCCAUGGCGGACGGUGGUUCACCAAUGACAUGAAGUCCACAAGGCAAAAGGCGGGAUUCAAUCUCCAUGAUCUUUGAAUAUACCCUUCCGACAACAAGGUCGCGAUCUUUUGCAGGGAUUUCCUCUCCCUCCUCAGGUAGUUCAACAUCCUUAUCGAGAUUACAUUGUCUAGCAGUACUGACAAUCGAGCUAACAAUUUGUGCCCCACGACCAGUAUCUUUAAGUGAUUGGUACGAGGAAAUAAGCUCACUCAACUGCUUAAGGCCCUUAUAAAGCCCUGCAUUUUCGGCUGGAGGUGUCAAAUAGCUUAUGGUAUUAGCAUAGCUACGACGUUUAGCAACUGUAGCUUCAGACGGGUUGUUAGCUGCAUAAUAGUAGACAUUCGGAAUGUUUCCAAUCAAACUAUCAGGAUAACAAACAUCACUCAUUCCAACUUGCUUUCCGGGCAUAAAUUCGAGCGAACCAUGAGUUCCAAAGUGAAGAACUGCAUCAGCCUUAAAGAUAUUCUCAACAUAAGAGUAAUAUGCUGCAAAACCAUGAUGGGGGCUAGCAGAUUUAGAGAAGAGAAGUCUCAUCGGGUCGCCCUCAUAUCCAAAUGUCGGUUGAACACCGAUGAAGAUGUUUCCAUAUUGCUUUCCAUAUACCAGUAGAUUCUCUCCAUCAGAGUUCAGAUUGCCAGGAGGUUUUCCCCAAUUCUCUUCCAAUGCUGUGGAGUAAGGUGUUAAUUGUUGGUAUUCACGAACAUUCAUUUUAUAAGCAAUGUUGAGAUUCGGACUGUUGAAUUGUGCCUCUUUGUCAUGAAUAACAUCUUCAAUCAAAGCUUCAGAAGUUUCAGGAAGGCCUUCGACGUUAUAUCCAUCCUUCUUGAGGUCUUUUAAGACAGAGAAGAUGGAUGAGAAGACAUUCAAAUAUGCAGCAGUUCCAACGUUCCCCUUAUCAGGAGGGAAACUAAAGACAGUUAUAGCCAACUUCUUAUCAACCUGCAAAAAUGCAAAUAAUUAUCAUGAGAUGGAGAAAUUUUUGAACCGUUACCUAGCAAUAGCAUAAUAUGUCCAUAAUAGUAGAAAGUUACAAGUACAUCAAUAUCACACAUGGUCACGAGGAUAUUCCUUUCUUCCGAUACCACGAUUUUCAUUGAGAAAAAACUAAAAGAAAGGCAUGCGAAAAAGUAAGUCCCUAAAAAGUAACCCAACUACAAAAAUUGGCUCCAACAAAAGAAAUGGUUCCUAUAGAAUAAUGGUAAAAGAUAGUCGAAACCAAAGGCCGAAGGGAAAUAUAGUUACGAGCAUAACAAUAUCAAGAAGUUGGAUUAAAGUUUGAUGUCCUUAAAUCUAUUUUGGGCUGCAUCUGUUUUUAUGGCCCACUAGUUGCCCAAUUAGAAAUUGUCAAAAGGCAAGAAAUUUUGGUUUCUUUUAAAAAAAAAGUUUGAAGGCUAAUUUAUAAAUAUAGCAAAAUAAAUCAAAAUAUUUACGAAAUUUAACCAAUGAGAAUUUGCAUAAUGGUAAAGAAAGAAAGAAAUGUGCUAACUAACUACUGAUUAUGGAAAAUGUAAGCUGUUGCGCUGAGUUAUAGAAGUGAAUACCUUAGAUUUUCUCUUCAGUUCAGCCCAUUUGAUUGCCCUGGUGCAGAGCUGUUCCACCCUUUUGUGAAGUGCAUGAGAUUUCCCUACAAUACAUUAUCGAGAAUGUUCAUAUUGCUCAAGUCCUAAACAACUAACAGGCUGCAAAAAUUUGACUCUUCAUGAAUAAACCAACAAAAUCAAUGAUCUACCAACCAUUUCGAAAUCAAGAGGACAACAGAAAUCACUAUCUAUUUGAAUUAUGAAUCACUUGCAUAGUGUAGGAAACGAUAGGCUGUUGAGACAUGAAUACAACAACUUUUACAUACCUGUACGAGGAUCUCGACCUGAGAAAACGAUAGGCUCCAUGCCACCAUCAAGCUCGGGUAGAGCCACCUGAAGCGCCACCUGAAUAGGGUGCAAACCCAAAGUACUAUUAAGCCAUUCCUCAGUAGUUUGAAACACCAAAGGCAAAGCAACAAUGUAAGGAACAUCAAGCUUAGUGAGUGCUUCAACAGCCCUUGGAUGGUCCUGUCUAGCAGGCCCUCCAACAAGAGCAAAGCCAGUAAGCGACACAACCGAAUGCACAAAAGGUUUCUUCGUCACUGGGUCAACAAGAUACUUCUCGACCGGUCCUGAAAAGUCAAGGCCACCAGCAAAAAUGGGAAUCACUUUAGCCCCUCUAGCCUCCAACUCCAUAAUCACUGCCACAUAAUGACUCUCAUCACCAGUAACAAUAUGACUCCUCUGCAAAAUGAGCCCAAUAACAGGAGAAUUACGAUCCUUCAACUUCUCAUUAGCAUCUUUUCUUGUUCCAUACCAAUUCAAAUACUCCUUCACAUCAUCAUACAUACAAGGAGCCAAAGGAUGCCAAAUCCCAGAGUCCAAAUACAAAACAGGCUCAGAAUACUCAAUCUUAACCCCUUUCAAAGCAGGAACAUAAGACCCAGAUAUCAUUUUCAAGAAAUUUUGAAGAUUAUCAGGUGACCCACCAAGCCAAAACUGCAAACUCAAAAUAUAUAGUCUAGCGUCUUGAGCCUUAUCACUAGGCAAAUACUUCAAUACCUUAGGCAAUGUUCUCACAAGCUUCAACAUACUAUCAGCAAAACCAGCAGAUUGUUUCUUCUUCUUAAACAACUGAAAGAAUGGACUCUUAGAUUGUCCCAAUUGUGACAUACUGAAUGACCCAAGUUUGUUUAAUCUCAUCACUUCAGGCAUUGAAGGGAACACCAAAACGGCGUCAAGUCGAUCCCUUUCCUUCUCAACAGCAGCUUUCACUUUCAAAGCAAGCUCCUCAACGAAAAUCAAAGACCCAAUGAACACAUUGGCAUCUUCCAAGUCUUUACAGAAAGUUUGGUAAGUCGAUUCAUCACGUAGCUCUUCAACUAAAUAACCCACAACUUCGAAAUUGGCGUGGAUUUUGUUGCUGUUGAGAGCUUGUACGGCGGCUGUGAGUGAUGAUUGGUACUGAGCUUCAAGAACAACAUAGACGAUUUUGACUGUCGGAAGGCCGUUGGUGUUAUCAGGAACUACACGACGAACUUCGGGACUGGUUUGAGUGAAAAGGCCAUUGCCAACUGCGGCACAUUUCACUUUAAUGGAGGUUUUAGAAGAAAUGGUGAUAUGGGAUUUUUUGGGAAUGAGGGAAUGAAGAAAGAAAUGUUUCUGGGAGAAUGAAAAUAAUUGAAGCUCAGAUUUUGAAGCCGCUAGAAAUGGCGAUGACACCAAGGACGACAUUGGUGACCUUGAAAAAAAAAAAACAAUUCAAUCAAAAAAUCAAACCUCUGGUAAGAUGAAGAGGGUUAAUACAGGUUUAAUCUUUGAAUUAUGCUUCAAAAAUGAGAAAUCCCUCUAGGGAAUUUUGUUUCGUUUUCUUUCUGUUACAUUCGAAGUUGCAGAGGGAUGGGCUUGGGAAUUUAAUGGAGAAGAAGAGGAAGAGGAAGAGAAAGAGUUGUUUUGUGUGGGUAGUGGUGAAUGGAAGGGACACGUGGCGAAUUGGGUCAUCAAGGAAUUUUGAAAAUGAAAUGUAUUUUUGAGGUUGAGGUUCAAUUUCAGCCAUGGAAGAAGAGAGGCAGAAGAAGACAUCCAUAAUUAUCUGAUGGGGCAUUUUUGAUGGAAUUUGGUGCAAUCUGAUUGGUGGAAACAGAUUUCAUCAAAUUGUAGUGAAGUUCAGAGUGGAAAGGGUGGAUAAUGAGAUAGAAAAUUGGAGAUUUUUUUUAAAAAGAAAAAUUGCAUUAAAUUCCUAAUUCUUGUGAAAGAUUCUUUCUACUUUGGGUUUGUGUCCCUAAAGAGAAAAGAGACUGAUAUUUUCUUUGUGGCCUUCAAUGGGACCAAUGGAAGAUAACGAGUCCUUUAGCUCUUCAUGUACUUUAGGCUACUCGUCUCAAUUCCUCACCAUCCAUUUCAACUUACCAUUCUUUUCUUUUACUCAUUUGGUCAAAGUUCGCUUUUUACCCUAUAAAUUGUUGGUAAAAAAUUCACUAAUUCUUUGGUAAUUAUUGUUGAGUAUUAGUUUUAAUAAUUGAUUUGGUUACUAAUUCUGCUGUAAUCAGCUACUAUCUUCUCUCUAAAUUCCGUUAUAAUAGCUACCUAUACUCUAUUAUUGUAAAUUCAUGAGAAAAUGAGAGAUUAUCUUUUCACAAUUUGCUCGAGAUCACAUGGUAUCACAACAUAUCAAAGACCUACGUCUACCCUUCCUCUCUAUUUUUUGUUCUCUCCAUCAAUGGCUUCCUACCAGUCUUCUUAAACAAAAGAAAUUUCUGAUCUUCCUCCUCACAAAUAUAUGUAACCUCCUAUUUAUCACACUAGAAUCAACAAAUUAUGUUUAUUUGGAAUUCCAAUUCUCCAACAUUUUGAGAGCACACAAGCUAUACCGAUUUGUUGAUAACACAAGUACAAAUCGAUUUCAAUUUCUUCAAACGCUACAAAAUCUAGUUCAUCUAUAGUAGAAAAUCAAUCAACCACUUUGUCAAAUCCUUUAUAUAUGAAGAUUAGAUUGCUAAAGAUCAAGUUCUUAGGACCUUGAUCAAUGUUACUUUAUAUGUAGAAGCCUUAGCCUACAUUAUUGGUUGUACUUCAUCAAAGGAAGUCUCGUCUACACUUGAAAAUCACUACUCAAAUUUACGAUCAAAUCUUGCUAAUCUCAAAACUAAUCUUCAAUUGAUUUUAAAGAAGUAUUUGAUUCAUACAAGAGGAGGUUCAAAACUUGCAAAUGUGUUUCGGUAGUAAACGAUGAAGAUUUGUUGAUCUACACUCUAAAUGGACUUCUAGAUGAAUACAUUAUUUUUGCACACUUAUCCACAAUCAGUAACCUUUGAUAAACUUCAUACUCUCUUGAAAUCUAAAGAAUUUAUUCUUGUGAAACAUAGUAAAUGAGAGGAUCUUUCUCUUUAACCUACUACGAUGGUUGCUACUCAAUUAGGUAUUAGUGUGAAUAUGAAUAACUCCGAUCUAAUUAGUCUUCCAACUUUAAUCCUUCCUUCUGAGAAAGAGGUUGUGGAAAAAAUUCUGGAAGAGGAUGUGGCUUUUUCCUCACAAUAAUAUGAAUAAUGUCGGAAGAGGAAGUGGUUUCCAGCCACAAAAUAAUAAUUGAGUCUACUGCCAAACAUGUACUCAUCUUGGUUACACUGCUUUCAAUUUCUACAACAGAAUGAAUUGCCAUUAUCAAGGUCGUCAUCCUACUCUGUAGUUGGCAGCAAUGUUUGCUUUUCAAAACCAGCAAUAUCUUGAUUUUCAAAAUCAACAGCAUUGACUCACAAGCUUGAGUUGCAAUGCAUAUGUUACCUUCUAAUUUAAACAAUCUAACUAUCUCAAAUGAGUCCAAUGGAGAAGAUAACAUCAUUUUUGCCAUGGUCACACACUCCCAAUUUCUCAUAUAGGUUGUAGUACACUCUCAUCUUCCCUUACUACUUCCUUUCAACUUAACAAUCUCUUAUAUGUUCUCAAUGCCUCUUGCCAAUUUUUUUUUUUUUCAUUUAUAAAUUAGGUGAUGGUAGUAAAUGUACUUAUCUCCUUGGUAAAAAAAAUCACUAUCUAGCGUAAUCUUAUGAGUUAAUCUUGCACUAAGGACCUAGUGCAAAUAAACUUAGUCCAUUUACACCUCACUCUUCCACUAUGAAAAAAUUAUAUGUUGCUCAUGUUGGAAUCAAGUCCUCUUCAUACUCCUUUUCUCUAUAGCAUAAUUGCUUUGGUGAUCCACAUCUACAUGUAUUAAAUUCUAUUAUAUAGUUUUUUCAUUUACAAACUUGUAAAAAACCAUAUUUCCUUUGUGAAUUAUGAUUGAGUGAAAAAAUUGUCACACCUGCUCUAGUUUUUCCCUCUAACCUAGAUUGUGGUGUGAAUCUACUUUUUAAAACAUUUAUUUCCAUUAAAAACAUAUUUACAUAAAUACUUUUCAAAAAAAAUUAUAAAGAUUUCGACAGCACCUCCCCAAAAAUAUGGGGUAGCCAAACCUGGAAAGAUAGAUAAUUUCACGUCGCAUAUAACUGAACUUCAGAUACUCCAAUACAUCCAAACAAUUCCAAAGCUUCAAGUAGAGGUUAAAGUUUAAACUAACUAUUAUAUACAAAAGAUUUCAGUCUAAUGAGGGAUCUUUCAAAACGCAAGUUUCUCAGUGUCUCUUUGGAUACGGCGAACCACCUCAUGAAGCACUACAAAAAUUUAACUAUAUACAUACAAAAAUGAAGGCUUACAAUAGUGAUGGGUUCAAUCGAUGCUUAGUCCUGGAUCGCUACCUCGGGGGGGGGGGGGGGGGGGGGGGGGAAAAACAUUAAAAACGUAAGACGAUAACUUAGUGAGUGAUAAGUAAUUAGAUGUAAAACUCGUAAAACAUGCUCAACAAGAUGUGUAAAUAUGCAUCGAUAAUGAAAUUGGAGGAAUGGAAUUCCCAUAGUGGAAGCGUGUGAACGCCGUGCUAAAGAAAAUCAACUUGAAACAUAGAGAAAACACCUAAACAUGCUUCUAUAGAGGGAAAAAAAAAAAAAGAAAACUAACCUUUGUAGAACCUCCCAAAGAACACCACGAAGUCUUCCUUAUUAUCCUCAAGAUAAAAAAGAAGACACAGAGAGGGGUUUUUUUUUUUUUUGAAGCAAUAAUCAUAAAAAAUCCAUGCAGAAAAGAUUGCCUCAUCUCUUCUAUAUCUUAACCAAAAGAUAUGAAGAGAGAUGGAGGGAAAGUUAUCAAAAUAACUUCCUCCCUCUCCCAUUUGGUACAAUAACUCCCUUUGGAGUUAUUCUUUUAUUUAAAUUAAUAUUAAUAUUAAUUUAAAUAUAAAUUCAAAUUAUAUUAUAUCUUAUAUAAUAUUAAUUUUAUAUUAUAUCAUAUAUAAUAUAACCAAUGGUUUAGAUCUUCUCAUAUGAUCUAUAGUUCUAAUAUGAAUCGAAUUCAUAUUAAUUUUUAAUCUAUAGUUUAUUUAUGAAUCUUAUUCAUAUUAUUAUUAUUUGAAUCAUAUUCAAAUAUUAACUUCUCUCAUAUAAACUUUAUAUUAUAAUGUAUCAAAUACAUUAUAUUAAUUGUAUCAUAUACAAUUUAUCCCUUUAAUCAAUUUGAACGAUUCAAAUUAAACCAAAAUAAAUUUGAUUCUCAUUUAUCUUUAUUGAGCUAACAAGGGAACCUUAUGGACCUACAUUAAAGACCAAUAGUUGCACUCUUCUUACUGUAGAUAUAUUUUUAUGUCCAUUAGAUAUAACCAAUCAACAGUGCAAUGACCCUUCACAAAUUGCUCAUAAGUACACCUAAGCCAAAAAUUACCAUUUUGCCCCUGUAGUUACAUCUAAUGACUUAAGUACCACAAAUCUCUCUAAUGAACAAUAGUUAUAGUCCCACUAUAACUAAACUCCUCUCGAGCCAAGAGAGGGUGUGGCGCCACAUUGUUCAAGCCUUGAAAUCAGUCCUUAAGAGAGCAAUUUCUCUAUUUACUCUAUCUAUAGAGAAGAAGUGAAUUUCUUCUUGUAUAGUAUUCCCAGUUGAAUUCCUUCUUGUAUAGCGUUCUCAACUCUCUAAUCAAAUGAAUCCCCAAAAUGGUAGGACUAUUGAGUCGGCGAUAUAGGUCACUCUCACCCAUGCAAAUCAAAGGACUGCCUUCAAAGGCAGGAGUUCACAACUCUCUCAGGAUUCAGGUCAAGUCACUUAUGAUCAUCUUGAUGAAAUGUAGUCUCAACUAGUAACAAUGUUAAUAAGAGAGACUAUUCAUUUCAUGGUCUGAUCUUAUACAAACUCUUUGUAUAGAAUACCCCUACUCUAAUGUCUCGACAUGGAUGAUUAGGAUCAAAUCAUUUGUAGCACUUUAGAACAAUUGUAACAACUACAAAGCAGACCGUAUUCGCAGUGUCACCAGGAUAAGGUAUCCAACCUUAUCCAUCUACUACAGAUCAUUUAGGUUAUCAUUUAAAUAUGAUCCACUUGUAUGUCUCCACAUACAUGUUUAAGUUACAUUGAUAACCUUGAGUGUUAGUUUAUUGGUUUUGUGGGUUAAUGCAACCAAAUGUCAAAUAAAAUAACACACUUUAUUUUAUUAGAUAAAUAAAAUGUUUGUAUAAUAUAUACAAUUACAAACUACAAUACCACAAGAUUUAGGGCAUCAAUCCCAACAAUAUUAACUAAAGACGUUGUCACAUAAUUCACAAGUCAACCAACAAACCUGUAACCGAUCCAACCAUGACAGUGCGCCUAGAUAUAAGACCAAGAAUAGAUCGCACAUAAUCAAAGAAUCAUGCGGUCAAAACUAGCUCACGCGUAUUUAGUGUCCACCAUGAUAACAACCUCCAUCCAAUCCAACCAUGAUAGCAUACUAAAUGCACAGUCCAGAAUAGCUCACACGUGAUCCAUAUUCAUAAGAAAACAUGCAGCUAAACGGAGCUCACACAUACUUAGCACCUACCACGGUAACAUCAUCCCUCAAAUCUAACCAUGACAGCAUACUAAAUACAUGACCCAGAGUAGCUCACACGUGAUCCAUAUCCACAAGAAAACAUGCAGUCAAAUGGAGCUCACACACACUUAGCAUCUACCACGGUAUCCACCUCCAUCUCCGCUCUUAUGUGCACUUAGAGCCACCCAUCAUGGGUUAAAGGCCCAAAGCCAUAUCACACUCCUCCAUCUACAUUAUCAUCUAGGCUCACAUUCUCGAAUCUCUGGCCAUGGCCUCUUUCAGCCCCAAAACCCUAUAACGAUCGUAGGUGGUGCUACGGAAACACAUUUGCGUAGCAAAUGGGUAAAUCAUCAUCAUUCAUAAAUCACAUAUUUUAUGCAUAAAAGUCAAAGAUGAUCAGAAAACUCAUUUUCAUAAAGUAGUUCUAAACAUACAUAUUCUUGAAAUCAUUGUGAGUAAACGUAUCGUUUAAGUAUAAAUGAAAAUGUAAAAUUAUAAAAAGUUUAAACAAUGGUAAUUUUCAAGAAAUCUCGUAAAACAACAUUUAUACGUAUAAAGAAAACUUGAAACGAGUCACUCAUAGACAAUAACUCGAUCCCCAAAAUUGCAUGCUUUUCCCACUUCAAUUUGGCCUAAAAUAAUGAUCAAGGUCACAUCAAUGUCUUUAUAUGAUAUGAGGCUACAACUAUUUGCAAAAAUACUUCGUAAGGCCGCUAAAAUCUAUUUGAUGUUUCUAAGGUCCUUAAAUUUACAAAGCGCCUAGGAUUAGACUAAAAUUUUUACAUACGAACCAUUGGACUAAAAUUCUCGAUAAUUAACCCCAUGAGCAUACAACUUAGUUAACUAUCGUGCGAUGACCGAAGGAUAUGGUUCUAUCGUGCAAGAAAUGUUAGCAUUUUUGAAAAUUUCUAUCGUGCAAAGUUAGCAUUUUUCUGAUGCAAGAAAUGUUUUUAAAGUCAGUAAACUCUCAUUUUUCACCAUUUUAAGGAUAUGGUAGAAAGAAGAGGUAGAGAAAAUUUGAGUUGCAUUCGAGAGUUGAAGCCAAAGGAAUAGGUAGUUAGACGCCAAGUUUUAGUCAAGAGGAGAUCAAGCAUAUUUAUAUAUAUAUAUAUAUAUAUAAAAGAUAUGAAGCUUGUAUUUGUAGGUGAAAAUGAAUUUAUUAAGUAAUUUUAAAGCCUGUUCUUAAAGCUAAUGUUUGAAGUAAUGUUUAAAUUAAAUGUUUGAGUUAUCUAUUUAAUGAAUGAUUUUCAAAACAUGAUUUUCAUCAAUGUAUUUAUUCAAGCAUGUUUAUUGAAAUGAUUAAUGCUUAUUAGAAUAUGAGUUUAUCAAGGUAUUAUUGUGUCUAAAGGUUACUUUAUGCAAGAGGAUUCUUAAAUGGUUUGAAGCAUAUGAUUUUAAUCCAAGAUGUCUCAAAUAGCCAUUUGGGGUAGGUAUUGGGGUGCCAAGGAAUUUGAGAUAAGGACACUUAUCUCUAGGAUCAGAGCUAGGGAUGCCUAUCUCCCAGGAAUAGGAAUUAAGGAUUCACAUCUCUGAAAUUUGGAGCAAGUGUUGUAAGGCCCUAAUUUGGAAAAAGGUAGUCAUGUUGAAGAGAGUCUUGUUGGGUAGUUGCCUCGGAUAAGUGUAAGUAUGGGACAUCUUGUGAAAAAAGAUGCGAGAAGAGAAAAGGUGACACGAAAAGAAAUGUUUGAGUCUAAGUUAUAUAGACUUGAGGUAGGCGACGUGAUAAGAAUAAUUAUUGAGAAAGAAGCAUAUGUUGGAUUUCAAGAGCUAAGUGUUUAACGUAGUAAUGGGAGAAGAAGUACCUACGCCUAAAGGAGUGUGGCGAGUAAGUAGGUGUCAUGUUGACAAGACUAGAUGACUCUCUGAGGAAAGUAAAUAUCUGUUGCUUCCUGAGAAGAUAGGAAGAGUCAAGGGAUAAAUGGUUUGGCUUUCCAAGGAUAUAAGGAUGACAUUUCAAGGGAACGUCCAAUCGCCACUAAAAUUUUAGCCUACGUGUAGGGUUCUUGUUGAUUGCAUGGCGCGACGAAUUAGUAAGGAGACAUGUGUAAAGUGUGGAGGUGACCUUUGGAUGAUGCACUAUAAAUAGGGCUAAAAGGCUAAAGGAAAAAGAAAUUUUUUCAAAGAUAAUAGAUUUCCUGGUGAAAAUGAGGAUAUUUUGGAUGCUGAAUGGCCGAUUGAGAGGACCGUUUGGCAAGAGGAGAAAGUUAAAAGCAGAGAAGGAAGGAGUUGAGGCUAAGUAUUUUCGUGUGUGAUUCUUUCGAUGAUCAAAUGUUGUGAUGACAAAAUAGAUUUCAAAAGCGAUUUCUAAACUGUUACCUAUGUUUAAAUAUUUUCUUUGCUUUAAUACAAGUUUAUGAAUGAACAUUGCGAAUGAUUCUAUCUAAAAUAAAACAAACAUUUUUGUAUGAAUGAAUAGUUAUUUGUAACAGAAACAUUUGUAGUUAUGAUCGUCGUUUUAGAAAGAAGUGUUUUACAAAUGCUAUGUACAAGUAUUAUUUGUAAUCUUAUGUUGUGCUUAUUAAAUGACUUUGUUAUUUUUAGGAUGAUCUGUGUUAGGAGUAGGUGUUCGGCUAAUACUUCUUUAUUAUUAAUUAUGUAGAUUGUCCGUUAUACUAUGGUAUUAUCUAUUACAAGAUGUCGGUAACUCGCGUGAUGCUGGUCAAGUGUGAAUCCUAGGUCUCGACGAGGGGAGAAUUCCAGGUUAGGGCGACUUGUGAUGAAUUCUUGGCUCUAGACACUAGUUGAAUGUGAAUCAUAGAUCUGUGAAAAGAUUGAGAAUAUGAUGAGACGCUAGUUGAAUGUGAAUUAUAGGUCUGUGAAAAGAUUGAAUGUGACGAGAAGCUGGUAGAAAUUCAAGGUAACUUGUGUGACGUUGGUUGAAUGUGAACCUCAAGUUCAGGCUAAGGGAGAAUCCCAAGUCCCGAUGAUGAGUUGGAACACAUGUUGGCUUGAGCACGUGGAACUUAUUUGUGCUUGUGGUGAUGGUUGUUGUGGUUUGAUGUGAUGAGAAUUAUUUGUUUGUGAUAUGAUCUUAUUAUUAUUUAUUAUCUGAAUCUUGUUGUUUUCCCCAGAAAAAAGGUUUUUCUCAAAUUGAUCACUUGCUAAGUCCUUUUGAAUUACGUUUUAAGUUUUCCACUCCCCGAGUCGACAGACUUUGAAGCUAAGUAAAGGAUGGUUCUUAGGCGUGAAAUUCAAGUUAAAGAGGGAAGGAAGGGCUAUAACGUAAGCUUAUAUGACAUGCUAGUCAUGUCAUCUUAUCUCAUGUCUUAGAAGUCAGUUGGAAAGCGCAUUGCUUCUUGGUGCAGAUGGCCCAAAUCAUAAGGAAGGCGAGUGCUGCUCUUAAGUUGGUGAGGUCAAGGUAGAGAGCAAAAUAUUAGAAGAGUUGAGCUAGGGAUAGGAAGCCCUAAUGCUUGUCCUUGAGUUAGAUUGGUUGGGCGACUGAGGAGAAGGAUGAAAGAAAGGUCUUACACCUCUAAGUACUCUGUCUCAAGAAGUAGCAUUAGGUGGUGGACGAGGAAAGGUGGAAGAAAAAGGACACGAAGAUCAACUUGGGUUUUAUUUUAUACAAGAAAGAAAAGGAACGUAUCUGUAAUUUGAGAACUCUAUGUAAAGUGUUAAGUUAAUAAAGAAAGGAAAUUAUUCUUUAUAUUUCGUUGUAUCUUAACUUUUGUGUUUUUCACCUAGAAGCUAAAGUUGUUUAGAGCCAAAUGUUAAGUACUAGGCAAAUGAGCUAAGUUUAAGAGUUGUUUUUCCACUGCAAAGAAGUUGCGAAGGUCUUUAAGGUUCAAGUAAGGCACGCUCCCACCUGGUCGCAUGGAGUGACAGUGGGGGUGGGGUGUGACAAGUAUUGUGUAACCUCUACCUUCUCCCAAGAGUAGAUACUUGGGACAUGAAUAGGAAAAAUAAGGAUUUGACUUACUAUUUCUCAAAUGUUUAUAAUGUUAAAGUAUUUAUGUUAUCGUUCUUUGUUUACUGUUUUAAAAGGUUUAUGAAAUAUUAUUUAAAAACUUAUCACUCACGAGGCUUGUUUAGCUCAUACUCUUCAAAAUGUUUUCUAUUUUUUGGAUACAAAUUUUGCUGCUCGGGGUGCUAGACUUACUGUGUCAGGCCAAUUUGAUUUUAGUUGUUAAAUGGUUAGAGUUAAAGUUUGUUUUGAUGUAUUUUUUUGUUUUUGUUAAAUAUUUGUGUAAAACUUAUUUAAAGUUUGUAAAAUGGAAAGAUUUGAUUUCAAUUGUGUUUAAGUUAUGCCCCUUAACUUUCACUUGCAUUUGAUUUAAGGUUAAGGGUUAAGGGUUAGUCGGUGUCAUUCAAAAGGAAAGUGUAUCACUUGACUUCAAGUCGUCUCCUGGGUUGAGUGUAGGUGAUCCGAAAGAGGGUGUGACAAUUGGACAUGGAGUCAUCAUUACAACUUAAUACAAGUAAAUUACAAAAUGAGAUACAAAGGAAUGAGGCAAACCGCGGAGUAUGAUUUCUCAUACUCCUUGGCUCCGAUUUUUUCCUUUUGCACUGAGGGGAAGCGGUAAAGGGGUCUCUCUCUCUCUCUCUGUUCUAAACUCUCACCUAAUUAGACAAAGGAAAUGAUGGAAGAAUGAGCUUGCUCUCCAUUGGUCAAAUUUUGCACACUUAAGAAUGAAGAAGACUCGACUAUUUAUAAGCAAGGUAUGAUGUGAAAGGACAUUAUGGGCUUAUUCUCUAAUAAAGCUGUUUAUGUGUCACAUAUGUCCUUUUCGUCCUUUCCGACAUUCGAGCCAACCACUUUUUUUUGCUACUACUUCGAAAUGCCUAGCUUUGCUCUGCAUUUCACCUUGUUGGUUGUGUUUGUCACUUUGCCUAACAUUUCGUCUAAGCUAUACUUCUUUUCACCUGAAAUCUUGGAUAUGAAACAUGCAAAACGUGGUAAACAGGAAGAAAGCUCUUUUGUAACUUGUGACGCGCAACUUAAUCAAUUUCUCUAUUUCUCUAAUUGUUUUUUCCAAACUUAUGCCUUAAGGCUUCAUUAUUUUACCUAAAAGGCUACAAUAACUUGUAUCUCUACAAGUUAUCAAUAACUUGUUGUUUUCUCUUACUUCUCGUUUCUUUUUUACUUAUCAUUAUUUCCUUUUAUUUUUUCUCUCUAAACCCUUACCAUUUUUAUUCUCUAAAAAAAUAGAGAUAAAAGAAAGAGCCAUAAGGAAAACAUUAUGUCUUAUUUACUUAUUUACCAUUAUUAUCAUUACUUUUUUAGUCUCAACUCUUUAUUGUUAUUUCUUUCUUUAAAACAUAGAGAGAAAGAACGAGGGAUAAAGAAAAUUUUAUUGUUUUUAUUAUUACUAUUGUUAUUAUUAUUUAUGUUAAUAUUAUCAUUUAUAUUAUUCUUUUUGUUGGAUUUUAUGUCCUAAAACUUGUAAUUUGUAAUCAUAUUAUAUUCAAUAAAGUCAUUAUUGAGAAUUUAUUAGUUAAAUUGAAUACUCUAAUAUUAAAUCCACUCAACUAAGGUCCCAAUGCUAUUUUAAGUAAACUUGAACUUUAUGUAUAGACAUAAACAUGGAUCAAGUUUGAGUAUAUAGCCUAAAAUGGUCUAUAGUACACUAAACAAAGGUUGGGCGCCUUAUUUUUGUAACACUAUAGAUGCAACUCGCUUUGUAGUUAGUACAAACAAUGUAAUCUUGAAUCGUUUAUGUAGAGACAUGAAAGUGGAGGCAUCCAAUGUAAAGAGUUCACAUAAAACUGAACCAAAAAAUAGUCACUUUUACGUUAUAAUGAAGUUUACUGUUUAAAACUGACUAUUUCGAUUUCUUAUAACAUAGGUAACUUAAUCUUAAUCCUAAGCUAACUAUAAACUCUUGUUCAUAUGAGAUUAUCCUUAGAUCUGCAUAGGUGAGGGCAGCUCAUGAACGUUGGUCCAAUAAGCCUCACAUUUCAUGGGUAAGAUUGAGUAGAUAGCUAGGGACAUAUGGUGCAAGAGAAAAUUCACUUCUACCCGCUUUAGAGUUAGUAGAUAGGUUGUUACCUUAAGGACUGAAUCCAAGUCUUGAAUAAGAGGCCUCACCCUUUCAUUGGCAUGAGAAGGAUUCGAUUUAUAGGUUGGACCUUAAACCAAUUGUUUAAUAGUGGAUUAGUAGUACUUAAGGGGCAAGAUGUAGUCUCGGAGGUAAAACGAUAAUUUUACCUAGCCGAGGUUACGAACAACCUGUGAAGAAUUAACUUACUGAUCAUGGUUAUAUCAGAUGGACACAAAUAUAUCUAUAGAAAAGGAAGGGCAACUACGACGCUUUAGUGGAAUAACUCGUUAGUUAACACAUGUUGAGUAACUUGGUCUAAAAGAUUCUAGUCAGUUAAUCUCAAAUCAUUGGAGCCCAUGAUUGAUCGGUCCAUUAGGUUCCCCUGUUGUCACAAACGUCCUCGAUGUGUGCCACACAAAAGGCAACUUCGUCUUCGUCUUGGCUGGCUGGGAAGGGUCCGCAGCUGAUUCGCGCAUUCUUCGAGAUACUAUGCACGACCAAACGACCUGCAUGUUCCUAAUGGUAAUCAAAAGUUCUAUGCCUCGAACAUAUACUACCUACAACGUUAAUCAAAUUAGUUAGAUCUGAUGCAUUCAUAACUGGUUAUUACUAUAUAUACGAUGCAGAAUAUCCCAAGGCAGAGGGAUUUCUAAUUCCCUAUAGAGUACAAAGAUACCACUUGCAAGAGUGGCGAGGAGCGGGAAAUGCCCCUACCACCACGAAAGAGUACUUCAACAUGAAACAUUCCUCCGUUAAGAAUGUUAUUGAACGAGCAUUCGGUGUGUUGAAUGAUCGAUAGGCAAUCCUUCGCGACAAGUCAUAUUAUCCCGUCCAAAUUCAAUGUCGAACCAUUAUAACAUGUUGUCUACUAAACACAAUCUCAUCAACCGCUAGAUGACGAAUGUCAAUUUCGUUAACGAUGUUGAUGAGGGAGACUCCACCUAUGCGAUGACCGAAGGUGAUGACUUUCAAUUCAUUGAGAACUCAAACAAAUGGACGCAGUGGAGGGAUGAUUUAACUGUCGAGAUGUUCAAUCAAUGGCAGUUGCAUAAUGAAUAGACUAUACGUGUCGAUUUCAUAUUCCUGUAUUUAUUUUUAGUUAGUAUUGGGCGUGUCCUCCUGUAUAGUUCAAUGUAUGCAUGCAUGACCAAAACAAAUGGAAUUGUCUUCCUUCAUGUAAUAGAAGUUUUAAUUGCCAUUUUAACAAUUUUUCCUUUCUGUAUAUUCAAGUUAUUGAUUUCUAUGCGUUAUUGUAUGAUUGUCAGUAUGGCAAGUUCGCCACGUGCACCUAAGCAUGUGUGGACGAAGGAAGAGGAGGCAAGAUCGUCUCCUCGUUCGCUACGUGCACCUAAGCAUCUCUCUCUCCAUUCACACACAGGUGAAGUCGAGCCACUUAGCCAUCUCGUCUCCUCGUUCGCGGCCAUAGAUCUUUGUCUGUCACAUCAAAGUCGUGCAAAGCCCGCCUUCCUCCGUUAGUUGCUAUAGAUCUUCCUCCGUCAAUCGCCACGAUACGCCAAAUCCAAAGCCAAAGCCUCCGUCAAAGCCAAUUCGUGCGCCCAUGCCUUUCAGUCCGAGCCGUAUGCGAGCCACACACCUCUCCCCUUAGCCGCGAGCACCGAGCCCUCCAAUGAAGCCAUUUUGAGCUCUUUCUUUGUUAGCUAAGCCACCAGUGUGACCUAGUUGUGGUUGUGGUAAGUUUUGUUAGGUUUGGUACGCCCAAAUAAUUAUUGAUUUUGGAUCUUAAAUGAGUUUGCAUUUUGAAUGAGUUGAUUUAUGUUUGCUUGAAGGUUCAAGUGUAAUUUGAGGAAUUGAGGCUGUGAAUUUUUUUCAUUUAAGGUUGUGUUGGAUUCAACCUUAAUCUUGUUGUAAGUUUGGAUAAGGUUAGUUGCCUAAUUAAAUAGUAGGUUGAUAGUUGACAAAUUAUUAAUUUUAAUUUUGUUCAUGUUUAAGACAGAGUAGUGAGAGGAUUGGACUGUCAACCAGUGAAUUACUUUUAGCAAAUCUCCAGUUAAGAGAUUUUCCCAUUAGACCCUCAUAUUGAAAGCUGCAUGUAUGUUCUUUAUUAUACAGUAAAGUAUUAACAGGCGUAAUAUGAUUGUUAGAGGUGGCCAUAAGUAUGACAAAAAUAUGUAUGAGUAGAUACAUUUUGACCAAGCUACUUAUUAAAUGAGAAAUGAUAUGAUUAAAAUGUGCCGUAAUUGAAUUAUGUGUGAUUGAGCUAUGAUAUUCAUGAUAUGGUAUAGGUAUAUAAGCUAUGAUAUUCUGUUAAGAUUUACUAUUAAAGUCGUAUCUUAUGGGUGUUCCACGGGAUCACCACCUAUAUAUGUUUGUGUGGCCAGUUUUAUAUGUAAUUUGACGAGAUCACUUACAGCCCGACUCUCCUUGAGGGUGUUCCCUUCGAGGUCACUGAAAGUUCAGAUCUGUCCCUAGAGGAUCACUGGAUAGCAUGCAUUCGGGAGCAUAAUAGUUAGAAGGUACUUUUUACAGGAAUCUAACAAAAACUUAAUAGACAAGUAGCAGAUCUAAUGGUGAGUCUCUUACUCAGUAUAAAUUUAUACUCAUUCUUUUAAAUGUCUAACUUUUUUAGGUAAAGGUAGAGAAAAAGGAAUGACCGUGAAGCACCAAAGGGAGAUAAUUUAGGUUUUAUUCCACAAUUAUGCUUUCACUAAUAAGUUUUCACAAAUUUAGUUUAGAACUCAUGUUUUUUUAUAUAUAUAAAUAUUUAUUCUAUUUUUAUGGGCCAAAUUAGUAUUUUAAUUAAUUAUUUAAUUUAAUUUACUCCUUCUUUACAUACUUUACUAUUUAAUUGAACGAAAUAUUUUUAAAAAUUCCUUUAAUUUUUGUAUUUUCUUGUAUUUAAAAAUAAAAAAUAUAUAUUUAUUUAAAUGGUAAUGACUUCAACUUAGUAGAAAAUUUAGGUGUUAUAGUUAUCUUAUUUUCCUUUUCCGUAUGCUUUUUUUUUUUCUUUUUUAUUAUCUAUUGAUCCUUCAUUUUGUUCACUUGUCUCUUUCGUUUAUGAACUGGAUUCUUCAUUUACUGUCGUUUCACUUGAGAUAACCGUGUAAAUAGAAAAAUAUUAAAUAAACUGAAAAAUAGAAAAUUGCGAAAAUAAUAUUAAGAUUUAUAGUAAAACCGCCGACUACAGACUUUUUUAUACCACUCUAUAUAUGACAAUUCACUUCGUAUUUGAAUAGUUCAAAGAAUGAUUCAAAUAUCAUAAAAACACGAACACAGUGUAUUUGUAAACAACAUUCAACUUUUGUAAAUCUUAACUAAAUAUGAUAUUUUAUUGCUGGAGAAGAUUGCACCAACAUCCCAAAAAAUAUAUGGGUAAUUUUUAUCUGAUUUUCAGAUUCUUAGAACUUAAAUCAAUUAGUUAACGAUUUAUUUUUAUAAUUCAUAAUAGAUAUGUUUAUUUCUAUAAUAAAUAUGUUAAAUUUCUACGAGAAUUUUAGAUUGUUAGUAUAUAAAUCAAUUUGAAUUCAAAUCUGAUAUAGCUAAAUUCUUAAUAACAAUUUAAAUUUAAAAUUUAAAAUUCAAAUUAUUAUCAUUUAAAAUUAACAACUUAUAUUUCAAAAUAUUUAUAAAAGAUUUAUUAAAUAAUACAUAUUUACUUUUCCCUACACAUAAUGAAGAAAAAAUUAAAAAGAAAAAAGAAAUGCGAGGAAGAAAAGAAAAAAAAAAUUAUACAAAUUAUGUUUCUCUUUCGAACGUUCCAAUAUAACAAAGAUCACAAUUAUUCCAAAGAAAGAAGAAAUGCGAAGAAGAAAAUUGUCCAUUGAAGAAGUUCAUCGUUUUGGUCGAUUAAGAGUUCAAAUGAAUCUCAAAUUUAUUAAGAUAACUGAAGAACACACCAAUUUGAGUGGAACUUAUGAAGAACGACAAAGGUUUUAAAUGUGACGAAUCCUUUUCUGCAAUUGAUUGAAGAUUUUCAAGCGGACGAAGUUAGGACAUGCAUGAAGAACUUGAAGGUUUUGAAACUGAUUUUGAAGUCUUUAUGCAAGAACCCUUUUUGGUGGAACAAACACGGAAGAUAGGUAAUGGAAGAUAUUGAAAAUGCAAUCGAAGGACUUUUCAAAAUUUUCUAAGGUUUCAAAAUGUGAAAUUAAUAGAAAGUUUUCAAUGUCUGCACGAAUUGAAAGAGAUGUGAAAUGAUUGCAGAGCUUAGGUGGAGCUUCGAUGGCAAUAUGUGUUAUUUUUUUAGUUUUUGAAGAAAAUUAUAUUUUUCAUAGAUUUUAAUUGUGUGUGAGAUGUUUUAUUUUAAUUAUAUGGUAUUUGAGUUUUAUUGAACAAUUGUACCUAGAAUUCAAUUUUUUCGUUUAAGUAGGAACAUUUAAGAUAUUGGUCAAGCUAUUUUUCUUUUUCAAAAUUUUCAAAUUUAUUAAUUUAAAAAUAAUUUUAACCUCUAUUUUACACUUCUUGUCAGCCAAAAGUUUAAUUAGUUAUAAUCGGCUGAAUUUCUCUUAAAACUUAGUGUUCCAAGCCCCUGAUCGGCUUGGCCCAAAAUCACUUUUUUAAUCUUUGAUGGGCUACGUUUUGGGCUUUAUUUCUCCAAAUUUUGGUCCAUGAAGUGUGCAAGGCCAAGAAUUCAAGAAUUCAAGAAAUAUGUGGUCUCUCCCUUUACAUGAUAACCACACCACAAUUUUGACAAAAAAAAAAAAAAGAAAAAGAAAAAGAAAAAAUCCUUAUUACCUCUCUUCAUAAUUAUUAUCUAGCUUCUAAACAAUUUUCUAUUUUUCUUCCUCUCAAACUUAAUUUUUAAGUUUAAACUAUAAAUUUCAUCAAAUAAUUCAACCUUCACCUUACUAAAUUAAUAUUCACAAAAAAUAACUAUAAAAAAAUUGGUUUAAAUGGCGAGACAAAUCACCAUGACCUAUCAUUGAUAAAAAAGAAAUUAUUAUAUUUAGUAAGUAUUUUAAACUAUUUUAAAGCGAUUCAAGCUUACAACAUUUAUAUAAUAAAAAACGGAAAUUGAGAGCUUACAAUUUUUGUUUAAAUGUUAGCUUUAUUUUUCUUUAUAUAGAAUAAGUAAAAUAAAGAGUUGUUUCUUCUUCUUCUUUUUUUUAUUGUAAAAUAAAAUAAAAUAAACAAUGAUAUGUUGUGUUUAUGUUUGGCAUAAAUGUUAAGAUAGGGGAAAAAGGAUGAAAAAGGGGAAAGAAAAUCCGAACCAAAAAGCUAGAAAAAGGAAAAUGGGAGAUGGAAGAGUGAGAGAAAGGAAAAUAGGUGAGACAAUCCAUGGUACAAUGGUCAUGAUACAUGUCUUCUAAAGGGAGGGCUCAAUCCCAAUCAUACUAAAAUCCCAUUUGCUUUAUUUUCUUUUAUUUAUUUUUUGGUAUAUAUAUAUAUAUAUAUAUAUAUGUAUAUAUUAUAUAUUAUUUUGGGUGGUGACAUGGAUGAUGAGAAUUAUGAUUUUAUAAAGUGGAAUUUAUCCCCACACCCAUCACCCCUUCACAUGACAUUGGUAGAAAGGUGGGAGAUAUUGGGGAGUCUUGUUGUCCUUUGAGAAAGAGAGAGAACCCUAUUUUCAUGAACUUUGUUCCCUAACAAACCAAAUGGGUUUUUGUCUAUGCAAUUCCCAAUUAUGUUUUAGGGUUGUUUCUUGGAUUAAGACCCCUCUUUUCCUUUUUCUUAUUUUUUUAAAAAUAAUAAAUGUGUUUUCUGUUUUUCUUUUUUUUUAAAAAAAAAUUAGGUUGCAAACAAACUAGGGUUUUAUUUUGGUGACAAAACGAAAUCUGCAUGCGUCAUGUGGGCCCUUCAUGAGUUCUUUACCGGCUUAUUUCUUUGAUUUCAUCUCGUCUUUGAAACUUACAUGCGUGAGAAUACUUGGAUCGGUGUGAUGAUGAGUCGACCACGCACUCAAGUUAGUACAUGGAGUAAAAAUGUAAAUUAGCUAAACAUAGAGAGUAAAGUUAGAGAGCUUACUUACUCUUAUCGUUAGGGUUGUUGAAUGAAGUAUUAUUUAUAAUGUUCCCUUCAUCUGUCACUUGUCUGUUGUUAUUUGUCACAUUGAUGGUGUUAGGAUAACUGUAAUCCUUGGAGCUGAAGUUGCAGAGGGCCACAAUUGAGCGUAACUUGAUUAUUUUUCAAUUAGUAUAAUUAUUUGUUAGCUAAGUUAAUUGGUCUAGAAUCCCAAGGUCAAUCUUUUACCUUUUAGGACGACGUGUAUGUUUUUCAUGUUGUCUCUCUAGUUUUCUCAGAGUUUAGGUUGCUCACGAGUCUUAGGCCUUAGGCCUCAUCUGGAGCAACCUCCACCAUUUAAUUACAAAACAAUUUAUAAAUUAAUUUUAUUUGUCAAUUGUUUAAAAGUGUAUAAAUUUGAGAUAAUAGGUAAAUCGUAAAUUUUGUUCCAUAUAUUAUUAGUAUAGUUUUAAUUUUAUGAUUUUAAAUGCUUCAAUUAAUAAAUGUGAAUGACUUGGAUUUAGGUGAAAAUUUUAUAUUUUGUUGAUAAGGUGUUCUUUUUAAUAUAACUACUAAAAAAACUUUCUUUUAUUUUCUUUUGCUCUAAGUCCUAAUACGUACAAUCCACUACCACAAUAUAUUAUUUAAUUUGUAAAGUUUGCAACAUAAAAAAGGUUCAUAGAUUAGCAAGAUUUAAUUAAGCAGCAAAUUGAAACUUUUACAACUAUAAAUUAAACACCAAGUUAACAUCAAAAUCAAAAUGAAACUUUUAAAAUCUAAUUAAAUUUAAACUAUACCCAAUAUCAUAAGUUUCAAAUUGAAACCAAGGUCAAAAUAUUGAAUAUCAUACAGAAAUUAUUGGACAACUUUGUAAUUUAGUUUUUCUUUUUGAAAAAGAAUAAUAUUGAAAUUUAAAAACCAAAGUAGAGAUCUUAAAAUAUUUGAUCUCUAACAAAAGUUACUAUGUUGAAAGAUUGAUCCUAAAGUUAUGAUAUAUAAGAUGAUAUCCAUAUCUUUGAAAUGUCUUUUUUUUUCUUUAGUAUACUAUUAAUUAUUCCAUUUCUUAAGAUUCUAAAAAAUGUAUGAAGAGAGAGAGAGAGAGAGAGAGAGAGAGAGGUAUUGGUAUAAUGAUAAUGGUUUGAGGAGUACCCACAUCAUUAACAAAGAGAGAGAGAGAGAGUCAAAGUUAGGAUGCUAUAUAUUUAUGAUGUUAUCAUGCCACAAUGCCCUUGGUCCAUUGCCUCAUCAUACAUACACACACAUAUAUAUAUAUAUUUAACAAGCCAAGUAUGACACAUUUGAUUAUAAACAAAAUUUUAAAAAACUAAUAACUUGGAUGAUAAUCCAAAAAUAAGUUUUAGUUAACAUUAAUUCUUCAGUACCAACUAUUGACUGACCUUUUAUACAUGCAUGUUAAAUAAUUAAACGUUGUAGGUUGAUUAUUUAUUAUUGUAUUAAACCUUUAAAAUUCAUUUACAAAUUUUAAGGAUGAUCAAACAAAUCAACGUGAGCUAUGUAUUAGAACAAAAAAAAAAGAAAAAAAGUGGUCAAGAAUUGUUUAUCUUUCAAAUCCCGACGCUAAGAAUAAGAAUAAUAAUGAAUAAUGAAUAAGAAUAGGGAUGUUGGUACAUAAAUUGAAUAAAGUAAUUAUGUAAAGAGAGAAAAAGAAAAGAAAGAAAAAUGAGAAAUGAAGAGAGAAAUGAUUGGAAAUGAUGAGGGUAUAGGCUUUGUUUUGAUGCCUUUACACUUUACAGGUCCUCUCUACCCCUUCCUUGAUUCCUGCCCUAAUGUCCCCUUCACUUCUCCUCUAUUCUAACUUUUUCACUUACUAAAACCUUCAUACACUAACUCUUUCUUUCAAAAUACUUACCUUUUUAUUGCUAUUAUAUUAUUAAAUGGAGUGAACCGAUUUAGAGAUUGAAAAGUAUAUAUGCAAACAUUUUCGUUGUUUAUAAAUAUCAUACUUUAAAAAAGUCAAAUGAUUAUAUUUAAGGGGUAAAAAAAAGCUAAGUUUUUGAGUGUGUACUGUGUAAUAUAUGUAUUCACAUUGAAGAUAAUGGGUGGCAACAUGCUAAUCAUAGCUUUCUCUCAUCAUCUUGUCUCUCCUUUUUUGUAUCAAUUUAUCAAUUUAGAUUCAAAGGGAAAUUUUUUAAAUUACUUUUUCUCCAUCAUAGAAUGUUUAUAUUCUAUUAUAUAAUAUCUAAUUUAUUUCUUUUUCUAUUAACAUUCACUUGGUAGUUCACUGCAAAAAGAUGUAGAUAUGAAAUUAAUAAAUAUGAUAACAUUGUUUGUUAUCUUGCAUAAGUAACAUAGGAAUAUGUAUAUAUAUAUAAUGCAUUUAGAUUUAAGAACAUACAUCAAAAAAAAGGAAAAGGGAGAUUUCUCACUUUGUUCUUUAUGUACUUAUCCCAUCGCUAACUUCUAAAUCAAAACGUUUUAUCACUUUAGAAGGUAUGCAUGUCACAUUCAAAUUCAAAACUCAAAUCACCUAAAAAAAAGUUUCUGGAAUUUUUUUUAAAAUUUAGUUCAAGAAUCAAAACACUAUAAUAUAUAAUAUAUAUGUAUACCUUAAACUUGCAUUUCUUUUACUUAAAAUAUUGGCUCAAUUGGUGCUCUAACUCAUCACAGCAGAGAACAUUUUUUUCCCUAUCUAAUCAUACAUUGAUCACCUUACAAGAUCAACUUUUCUCCUUUUCCUUUUUUUGUGCUUUUUUCUUCUUUGUUUUUUCUUUCUCUCAUCAUGUUUUUCAACAAGCAAAUACAACGAGAGGGAUUCAAAGAGAGAUUUAGAAGACUCAGUUCAAAAUUUUGUUAUCAUUUUUCUACUUUAGAGAAUAACAGCAUUAAAAACUUAUAACCUUGUCAGAACAACCAUGCCAAUAGAUUCUCAUGUAAUCAAAUAUUACUCAUCACAAAAAUUGAGGGCAUAUACUCUUACACAUAAUAGAAAUUUCCAAAUUCUAUAAAAAUUAUAUUUUUCCACUAGCAUGAAAAAAAAAUGAAAUUAGACACACAAGAGUGAGUGAUACAAACUUAGGAACAUGCAGGAGUGCAUAAAAUUAAGUGACAUACUUAGUACUUUGGCGAGAUUAAUUGUGAGGCAGAGUUAAGAUUAAAAGAAAAACAAGGCAAAGCAAGUAUAGGUCUCCAAAGAAGUGCCUAGCUUCUUAUCUUUAGCUAGACACCGUCAAUUUAUUCCAAUAAAUAAAGGUCCUAGAUCUACAUGUCAAUCUUCUUUUCUGCUGUAAUGAUUUACUCGUUUUACAUUCACUUUCAAGGUCAACCCAUCAUUUAGUUCAACAAAAUUUCAUAUGGGUCACCUUCUUAACUACAAAAGAUUUCAACCCUAAGCAUACUGAAAAAGCGUAUGAAUAACUCAUCACAAGCUUACAGAUCUAGAUGUCACAUGAAAAGCACAGACAACAACUGAAACAAGUAAAAAAGAAAAAACCAACAAGUAAAAGUAAAAAAAGGCACAAAAGUUGGUAACCAAGUUUGACGAUAUACCACCUACGUCUCUUGGUAGAGUGCCUAUAAAAGAUAAUUCAGUAAUGUUGAAAGUUAAAGUAGUUUACAGGGUAGUACUUAUUUGCAACAUUUAUACUAUAAUGACUCACAUAGAACUUAACUUAAUGAUCACUUAGGUUCCGCCUAGACGUGAGACUUCCUCUCAAGAAUAUUUUAGGUCUCCCUACGUCACACCUCAAUGUUUAAGGUAAUUUUAAUUUUAAUUUAUUUUAGUUUAAAUAAUUUAUGAAUUAUGGAGAUGUUAUUUUUGAUCUUUGUGGAAUUGUUUUUGGUUGAUUAAUUAAGUUGGAAGAUAAGAAUAAUUAUGUUAUAGGGUAUAAUAUAAUUAUUAUGUUAUUAUGUGUGUUUUUGUGGAAAAUAUAGUUAUUUUAAAAGAUUUUGUAUUUUUUGGGAAGAUGAAAAAGGAGUUAUAAAUGGAUUUGAUAGGUAACUCAUGGGGGAAAGGGAAAAGUUUUAGUGUGUAGGAAAAGGAAAAGAUAAUACUAAUAAUAAUUAUAUUAUUAUUAUUGUAUUUAACUCUCUCGUCAUGCAUGAUUCAAGAAUACUAUUCAUCGUCUUCUUCAAUCCUUUAUUCACGUUUUCUCUUUGUAAGCCGCACUCGUCCUAGCCGAUCGUGAGCUGCAUGCCUCCUCCCAGCCAAACGCGAGGCGCACGCCUCUCCCUUUAACUGCACGCGUUGAGCCCCUCCAGUCGAGCCAAUUUGAGUCCUUUUUGUUAGCUAAGCCAUCAAUUUGAGCUAGUUGUUGUUGUGGUAAGUUUUGUUGGAUUUAGUAUGCCCAAAUAAAUAUUUGUUUUGAAUCUUAAUUCAGUUUGCAUUUGGACUGAGUUGAAUUAUAUUUGCUUGAAGGUUCAAGUGUUAAAUUGAGGAAUUGUGGCUGCCAAUUUCCCUUUCAAGGUUGUGUUGGAUUCAACCUUAGUCUUGAGGUGAGUUUGGAUAAGUUUAGAUGCCUAAUUAAACAGUGGGGUAAUAGCUGACAAAUUUAUUAAUUUUUAAUCUUGUUCAUGUUUAGGACUGAGUAUUGGGAGGAAUUGACUGUCAACCAAGGAAUUAUUAGUUUAGCUCAUCUCAAAGUAAGAGAUUCUUCUAUUUGACCCCGACAUUUAAAGUUGCUUAUGUGUUCCUUAUUUUACAGUAAUAUGGCUAAGAUGCAUAUUAUGAUUAUGACAGAUGAUUUUAUUAAUGGCUACCUAGGUGACCAUUAUGUUUGAGGAGACAUGUAUGACUGAGAUAUUAUGACCAAGAUACAUUGUGGUGAUUGAUGGAUGCUAUGAUUGAGUUAUGUUUGACUGAGCUAAGAUAUUUAUGUUAUGAUAUAUAUGUAUAGGUUAUGGUGUUCUGUUAGAUUUAUCUGUUAGAGUUGUACCAUAUGGGUGUCCUUCAAGAUCACCACCUAUUUAUGCCUGUGUGGCUAGUUUUGAUGUGUGAUUCGAUCAGAUCACUUACAACCACCGACUCUUCUUUAGAGUGAUUCUUUUGGGUUCACCGAGAGUCUAGAUGUGUCCUUACGGGAUCACUGUAUAGUGUGUGUUCGGUGGCACAAUAGUUAAGAGGUACUUUCUUACAGGACUCUAACAGAAAGUCAAAUAGACACGUAGCAGGGUUUAUAGUGGAUCCCUUACUGAGUAUAAAUUUUAAAUUUAUACUCAUUCUUUUCAAUGUUUAAUUUUUCAAGAAAAUGUAGAGGUAAAGGCAAGUUGGCGAAUGAUAAGAAGUGAACGUAGUUCGACAUAGGGAAUAGUUUAUGUUUUUCUUUCGUAUUUAUGUUUUCAGUAAUAAAAAUUUUCAUAAAUUUAUUUUAGAACUCAUGUUUACUUUUGAUAUUUCUUUUAUUUUUAUUUUUUUAAAACUUUUAUAUGGCAAGCUAGUAUUUUAUUUAUUUUUGUUUAUUUAUUUAUAUACUUUAUUAUAAAUUUUAAAUGAAUAUUUGAAACAUUUUCUUUAAAUUUAGUAUUUCUUUUAUUUUAAAUUAAAAAGUCUACAUAUAUUUAAAUAGUAAUGAUCUCAACUUAGUAGAAAAGUUGGGUCGUUACAUCUUAAGUGUGAGCUCCUCUCACUCUCCACAUGCUUAGGCUUCUCUCUAAGAGUGACAGUAUUAACUAUUAUCUUCACUUAAGCUUCUAACAGUGAGCGUGAGACUCUCUCUCGCACUAAUAUCUCUCGCAGUAAUAUCUUUCCUACAAAUCAACUAACUCCCUUCACUGAUGAAUCUUAGGCUCCCUCUAAGAUAGAGAAUUCUUUCUAGUUGGUGUGUCUUAGGCUCCCUCUAAGAUUGGCAUUCUCUUCUCCACAACAAUGACUUAGGUUCCCUCUAAGAUUCAGAUUAUCUUCUCCACAAUAAUGGUUUAGGCUCCUUCUAAACCGUAAAUAUCUUUUGUAUGUUGCAAGGAAUUGUACUCAAGCCCCACCUCGCAUGCGUCCAAAACUUCCUAUAUGGUACAAAAUGUGACUUGAGCAGCCCUGGCUCCUCAAUUGAAAUUGCAAGAACGCUCACUUAUGUCCUUGCAUUUGUGCUUAAACUUUAACAAGCAGCAAAAAUUUACUAAACUUCAAACAUAACUGAUAAACAAACCAUUUCUUAUUACUUGAACCAAUUGUUUUGCACUUACACUCUCCUUAGUAAAAAUGUUAAAACAAUUAAACUUAGCUUAAACUUAACAUCUUGCCUAGCUCACACAAAUUGAGAUCCAUUUCUACUGGUACAAAGCUUUUAUACACACAAAAUGAUUUCUUAUGUACAUGAAUUACAAAGUAAAAGAAGUUUAGAUCGCUUGCUCAACUUCCAUGUGUAGCAACUCAUCUUAUCCUUCCUUACUUAAUUAGCUGAAAUACAUAACCAUCUGGGAAAUGGAUAAAAAACUUUAAACGUAAGUCAAAGACUUAGUGAGUGAUCUUUUAAAAAAACAUUUUUUAGCAACAAGUAGAUGAAGUCAUUUUCAUAAAUAUGACUCUCGUCACCUGAUCAUUUCAUAAAACAUAAAUACUCAUUAGUCUUUCAUAUCCCUUUCUUCCAAGAACAUGAAUCAUUCCCAUGCAUAGACUAUUGUGAUGUCCUUUUCAUCAACAACAUCCUUUAGAGAACUUUCUGGUUAAUUUUCCGUUGCUUGGACAACUAAGCUCAAUACGAUCCUUUUACACAUUGGCCAACUUCACUCUACCUUGCAGUUCUUUUCUGCACAUGCAUGCCUUUACUCCUUAUGUGCACAUAAUAGUUAGCUUUAUUGAUAGGAAUAAGACUAAUUUUUUAAUCACAAGCAUCUAUAACAUACAAUACACUCAUUGCAUAUAUAACUUUAUUUUAAACGUAAAUGCUUCUUUAGAAAAUCAUUCCUUUCUAUAACAUAAUCAUAUAGAAACAACAAUAUUACAGAAUCAACAAGAAACUUAGAAGAAAACUUUUAAAGUCUUUAAACAUUUUGGAAAGUCACUCACGAAUCCUAAGUUUCCCUUAGCUAAGAAUGCUUAGUCUUCAAGCUUAUUCUCGCUUAACUUCUUUUUUCUUUUCCAGCAGAGUGUCACUAAUGAUUUUUGCACAAUCCUCCUUCUACUGUCAUUUCUCCUUUAUUUAUACUAUUCUUUCAAAAUAGAUCAAACAUCCUUAAGUCCUUAAUAAUUUGUUAGCUCCUACUUGGAACAUUACACGUGCAUGCUUAAUAUUUAUCUUAGACAUGCUUAGCUUAAGCUCUUACACAUGGCCCGUUAAGUAUACUUGGGAAACUUUCCAACAAAUUCCUAAUUCUUCAUUGUAUAGCUUUAAAUCACCUAACAGACUUGCUCGCCUUCUCUUCACCUUGUGCGGGCUAAUCUCAAAGCCAAGCAUUCAAAACACAUAUUCCUUCCUUGCAUCGCUUGACCUUACACGAUUCAACAUAACACAUAGCUUCUAAAACACUUUCUUAAUUUCAAAACCUUUUUCAAAAUCUAGACUAAAAUGCUUAUUUUCCAAAAUUGACCAUUCUAUUAGACACAGGUCUUACGAUAACGAAUAAGAACUUACAACGAAACAUAAAAAGCAAUGAGGAAGAACAAAAUGAAGAAUACACACCACAGUGGUCAUAGAACGUAACAAUUCAUGCUUAAAUAACAAAUGUGGCUUGGAUGAAGAACACAAUUUUCUAUCAAAAUACACUAUAUUUUGUAUUAAUCAUAUUAGUAUAAAUUUCUCUUAAUCAAUUUGAACAAUUCAAAUAUUUCCUAUGGAACUAGCAUGGGUACCUAAGGGACUUACAUAUUAUAAGCUCCAAUGAUAUGAGAUUAGUCAAUUAAACUAAUUUAAUUUAAUUAAUCAAUAUUCAUUAACUAUUGGUCAUUCCACUAAAGAUUGGUAGUUGAAUUCUUCACACUGUAGAUAUAUUUUUAUGUAAAUAAAUAUAGUCAAUCAAUAGUGAGUUGACUCUUCACAAUUGCUCACAACUGUAGUUUGAUCAAAUUACCAUUUUACUCCUGUAAUUAUAUUUCUUCUUAAAUAUGCCACUGAUUCCUCUAAUGAACAAAUAGCUUAUAGUCCAACUAUAAACUAACACAUCUUGUGCCAGUGAAAGGUUAAGAUCUCAUUAUUCAAGACCUUGAAUCAACCAUUAACGAAGUAACUAUCUACUAUUCCAAUGAAUGGGAAGAAGUGUAUUUUAUCUUGUUCGGCUGUGUUCCCAACUUAUUCCUCAGACAAAUCCCCAAAACGGGUAGGCUGUGUCACUCUUGCUCAUAUAGAUUAAAAGAUCGACAUCAUAAACAGAAGUUCACAACUCAUUUAGGAUUAAGAUCAAAUCUCCUAUGCUCAUCCUACUGAAAUAUUGGUUCCUAUAACCAACGUUGCUAUAAAGGAAAACUAACUAUUUUGCUAUUUGAUCUAUGUAUAAACUCCAUUAUAUAGGAUACCUCCACUCACAUGUGUUCACAUGAACAAUAUGGUUCAUAUUGUUUGUAACUGUCACCAUGCGUCUGAAAUGAUGCGGAUUGAUCAACUUUUUAAAAGUUGAGUUAAUUUAAAGAAUAAUAAAAAGAAGUCGCUAUCAAUCAUUUUUAUAGUGUGAUUGCACAUUGAAAUAAAAUAAAUAAUUUUUUAAUAAAAAACUGGUUUGCGAAAACUAGAAUUAAGUUUCGGAGUCAUUUGUGUAUGAGAAAGCUGUUAACACCCAUUUCGAAAAACGAUGACUAAAUUUCAAAUCUUGAAUUUAAAUAUACUCUUUAAUUUUUUAAAAAAAUAAGGUUUUUUUUUUUUUUAAUUUCAAUGCUGGUCACUCCAAUAUUUGAAGCAAUUAUCCUAUAAAAUAAGUUGAAUAAAAUCCAUCAAUUUGGACUAUAUAAUAACUUAGAAGAAAUUAUUUUCCACCUCAAGAAUGCGAAAAAUUAGUACAAUUUAUCAAAAUAUGUUGUAGAAAUAGUCUUCUAGUAAAGAUACAUUUUAAAAGUCACUAAUAAAAAUAUUUUUUCUUGAGAUCAAAUCUCAUAUCCGAUUCCUCGUCUAAAAAUUUUUAGAAUUUGGACUCUUGAAAUUUCUAGAUUUCAUUGUAAGAUUUUAAUUUUUAAAAAAGGUAAAAAUUAUUAGAAAACCUUCGUUAUAAAACCUUUUGAAUUAAUAUAUAAAAUUUUUAAUGCUUGAAAACACAAAAUUUUAAGAAAAAACGUUAUGGAUAGCAAAAUAUUAAAACUAUAUACAAGAUAUAACAAAAAAAAAAAACAUUUAAACUUGGAUGAAUUUCGUUAUGUUCUGUAAAUAAUUUUAAUACUUUCCUAUCUUUUCAACAAUACUCCAAAUUUUAAUUGGUUUAGAAAAAGUUCUAUCAAAGACUUUAAAGCUUAAAAGAAAUUAGAAUUAUUAUUUUUUUUCAAAACUUUGAAAAUUUUAAAUAGAAAUAAAAUAAAGAGAUGAACUAAAGAAACCAUAAUUAACGUUGGAUCAUAAAAAAAUAAGUAAAUAUAAACAAAAUUAUUAAAAAAUAAGUGAAUAUAAACAUUCAUAUGGACAUAUUAGAACUAAUAGCAUAUAAAAGAAAAAUAACCCAAAACAACAUUUAAAGUAAAAACAAGUAUCGGUAAAUGAAAUAUAAAUAAACUUCUCUUUUUUCUCUUCUUUCUUUUAUCUUUUUAUGUCAACCCAUCUUCUCCUUCUUUAUUUACAUCUUUUUUGUGGGUGUAUGUCACUUUCUUAGAGAUCUCACAUGUUCAAAGCUCACCCAAUAGCAACUAAAUCUAAUAUUAUAACGAUUGCAAUGCGUGUCAUAUCUAACGUCAUACCAGAACAAGGCACCAAACCUUCUAUUCAUUUACUAUGAUCUGUUAGAUUAUAACUUGAAUAUGAACCACUUGUAUGUCAACCACACAUUGUUCAAGUAACAUCAUAUAACCAAAGUUAGUUUAUUGAAUUAAACUAUUAUAGUAAACAUUAUAACAAACAAUGAAAAUCAAAUAGUAAAAGCUAUAGCAAAUAGUAAAUAUGGUAACAAUUAAAUGACUUCUAAGUAAACGAAUUUUAAAUAUAAAAAUGUUUCUUUUUUUUGCUGUAUGUUCCCUUCAAAACCUAAUUUGAAUAUUUUAUUUUAAGUUUAAAAGAUUAUUUAGUUUUCAUUUAGCAUGGAUCCGAUUAAAGAUCCCCAAAGGUUAGAUUGUUACCGUAUGGAUAUAAUCCAAAUUUAAUUUAUUGAUAUAUACAAGAUUUAUAUUUUGUAGAAUGGUAUAGAAUGGUUAGAAACAGUAUCCAAAGGUUAGAUUGUAUUAAAUGCAAUAUGAAAAGCAUUGAUUAUAUUUAGGGUUUUGAAUUUGUAUGGAGCAUGAUGAUGUUUAGCAAGUGCCUCCCAACAAAGAGCUCUUAUGAUGAAAAAUAACAUGCUUGGGCUACUCUACUUCCUAUUUUGUAUGUGUGUGAUGGGAUGGGUUUAUUUUAACUCUAUGGCCAUCAUUUGGUCCCACAUUCUAUUUUGAUUUGAUAUUUUCUUUUGUAGGGUCUAAAUAUAACAUCAAUAAUGGGACUUCCCUCUAAUAAUUUCAUUCAAGGAGUUUUUGUUUGCCUUUGUUUGGUUGUGUUUCCUUGGAGUUAUUAUUCAUUUUAUUUUUGUUACAUUUCAAUUCUCUAUCAACCCUACAUCAACCCUACCUUUCUUCUAUCAUCACCAAUCAACAUUCUCUCUCUUUUUGUAAAACAAAUAACAAAAUAUGUUUUCCUUUCUAACUAUUUGGUUAUAUAUAUAUAUAGUUUUUACGUAGACUAAAACGGUCAAAACUAUCUAUAAAUAUAGUAAAUUUUACAUUUUAUGAAAAAUAAAUGUGAUAGACUCAAAUAGACAUCUAUAAGUAUUUCUCUACAAUAAAAAGUAAAUUUUAUUAUAGGUUAAUUUAUAUAAAUGUAACAAAACUCUUAAAUAUAUAUGGUCCCUCUUAACAAAAUAAGAAAAGCCCAUGAAACCUUAUUAUUUUUUCAUAAAUUUCAUAUAUGUCUUUGUUGGUUUUGAAUAUUCCGUGACGAGUUGUGUACUUAUUCACUUCUUCUUAUUCUUCUUUGCGAUUUAUUCAUCUUGUUUGUAACUUAUUCAUCUCCUCUUCCAAAUUCUCUUUCUUUGGUGUUUAGAGUAUAAGAUCUGAUCCUUUAAAUAUCCUAUCACAUCUUCAGCAUCUUCGACAAGAUGCUUUGAAGCUAUUUCACGAUUGUCUACCAAAAUCUAAAUGAUCGUGUAUAUUGUAUUAUAUGAUCGUUAGAUUUAAAGUUUUCCACAAUUAUUUACAUUGGACUACAUGAUUGCUUACCAUGAUCAACACGAUCGUUUAUCAUGGUCAACACAAUUGUUUAUCAUGGUCAACACAAUAGUUUAACUUAUAUUAUCUCACUGUAUAAUCAUUUAUCCUUGCAUUUUGAUGAUCGCUUACCAUAACCAACUUGAUCGUUUACCAUGGUCAACACAAUCAUUUAACGCAUAUUAUCUCAUUGCAUAAUCAUCUAUCCUUGCAUUUUGAUUAUAGUUGUUAUUGAACUUUCCAAAACGAUCGUUUAUUUUAACAGAAACGAUCAUGUAUACGAAUUUGACGAUCGUUUAGAUUAUAUUAUACAAUCAUUUAUGUCUAAAGCUUUCUCGCCAUCGUUUAGAGUUCAUUAUCCAAUCGUUUAAAUUUGAAGUCUUUUUCUCUAUCGUUUAAAAUGAACUACACAAUCAUGUAUCAUGAUCUAAACCAUCAUUUAAACUAUAGUACAAAAUCGUUUAGAAGAAAAUUACUUAGGCGCAUGUAGUAGAUUAAUCACGUGUUGAUUGAGGUAUUUUUGGUAUUUCACAUUUUGGCCCUCUAGGUUUUUUUCUUUUUCAAAAUUGUUCUAUACAAUGUAAAUAUUUUACCAAUUUGUUGUUUUUUUUUCAAAAAUUCUUGAGGUAUGAAUAGACGUAAGUGGGUCACCAAAGAUCAGUUUCUCUUAGGUGUUCCUUUGUGUUCGUCGAAGACCAGAUGUGUUCCUUCGAGAUCACUAGAUAGCAUGUGUUCGAGAGCAUGAUAGUUAUAGGGUACUUGUUAGGAUUUAUGUCCUAAAACUCGUAGAUUGUAAAUAUAAUUCAUUGAUCGAUAUUAAUAAAGUGUUAUUAUUAUAAUUUCAAUAAAUGUUAUUGAUUAUAUUAUUAGUUUUGUCUUAAUAACCCAAAUCCAAUAAACUAACAUCCUAAGUUAUUUGAUGAGUCUUGAACAGUAUGUAGAAACAUACUGAUAUUAAUGUUUGAUAUCAAGACUGAGUACCUUAUCUUGGUAACACUAUGGAUAAGGCUCACUUUGUAUUUGAUACAAACACAAUGAUCCAACGCGCUUGUGUAGGUGAUAUGCGAGUGAGAGGGUAUCCUAUGUAAUGAGUUGCAUAAGACUGGACUACAAAAUACUAACCACUAGAUGUAACUCUGUUAACUAGUUAGGUUUUUAUUCCAUUAGGAUGACCUAGGUAAUUUAAUCUUAAUCCUAAGUGUAUUAUGAAAUUUUGUUCGUGAGAGAUUGUUCUUUGAGUCGUAUGGGUGAGGAUGGACAAAUUGUCGACUCAAUAUGCAUAUCAUUUUGAAGAUAAGACCGAGUGGGAAGCUGGGAACAUAAUCACACAAGAUGAAAUUCACUCUUUUUCUACUUUAGGGUAAGUAGAUAAGUGUUCCUUUAAAUGGUGUCUCAAGAACUUGAACAAAAGGUCAUACCCUCUCUGUGGCAGGAGAGAAGUUUCUAUUUAUUGGUUGAAUCAUAAACAUGUUGUUCAUUAGAGGAGCAUUGGUAUUUGAGGACUAGAAGUAACUAAGGGAUAAAAUGGUAAUUUGACCCAAUUGGUGUUAUGAACACUCAUGAAAGACCAACUUACUGUUAUUGGUCUAUAUUCAUGGACACAAAAAUAUAUCUACAGUGACAAGUGUUCAGUUGUGAUUUUUAAUGGAGUGUACACACAGUUAACGAAGAAUAUUAAUUAAUGUGGUUAAUGAAAUUAGCCAAUUAAUCGCAUAUCAUUGUAGCUUCUGAUUUGUAUUUCCAUUAGGUCCCCUUCCUAUCUCGUAAAGGGUAAUGAGAUUUAUUUAUAUUGGUUCUAAUUUUAAAUGUUCAAAUUUACUUUGAGAAUUAUGAUGAUAUAAAGUUUAUAUUUUAAUCAAAUUUUAUUAUAUAAAUAUAGUUUUGGAUAUGAUUCAAAAUUAAUUUGUCACAGAUAAAAUAUUUGAAUGAGUUCAAAUAUUAAUUUAAUUUGAAUUGGAUUCAUACUAAAAUUAUUGGUUAGGAGAGAAAUUUAUAUAUGAAUAUGAUUUCAAUUUACUUUAAGUUAAAUAUAAGAUAUUUAAUUUAGCUUUUAAUUAUUUGAAGAAUUAAUUAAUAGUUUAGUUUAAUUAUAUUUAAUUAAAUUAACUUAAAACGGUAAGAUAUGCGAGAGAUAUUCAUUAAAUAUGAUUUGAAUGAAAUAUUAAUUAAAUAUGAUUUAAUUAAUUAAUUAGUUGAUUUGAAAUUUUUAUUUAUUUAAUAUUUUUUAAAUUAAUAGAAUCUCAUGAUUCUCCUAUACUUCCUGAAGAAAAUGAAGUUAUAAAUACGCAGAAGAAAAUAGUUUUUCUUCAACCUAUGUUUUUGCUCUAUGCAAAAUAGUUUCUCUAAACUUUUUUCCAUCGCAGUUGGUUCUUACAAAUCAAUCUCAUUCCAGAGGACAGGAAGAUCUCCAAAGAGUGGUGUCCCAAUUUAUAGUUUUAGUAAAUUCAAGGGCGUCAAAUUAUGUGAGUUUUUUCAUUUCUAUAUUUUUUAAUUUAAAAGCAUGCUUAGCCUUUUAGAAUUUAGUUUCUAAAUAUUGUCAAUGGAUUGAUAUUUUAGAAUUUCCAAAUUAGAUCGAUGAAUGGUUCUGUAAAAUCUUCUUCUACCUAGGACUUUUAUCCCUUCAGUACUUCCUUACGGAUCCCUGAUGGAAAGUUAAUAAACACCUUGUGUGACUAAUAGUGGGUCUCCUACUAAGUAUAUGUUUAUACUCACUCUUUCUAUGUAUAAUUUUUUAGGCAAAGGUAAAGAUAGAGGAAAGAUAGCGAGCGACAUGAAGGAUCUGUGACGUGUCAUAUAGGGACUCAUUUUUGCUUCCGCUUUUCAUUGUUCAUUUUUAGUGUUUUGAGCUUAAACAUUUUUAUCUAUUUGUUUUUAUCAUCUUUAAAACUUGUAAAACCGCUGCCGCAUGUUUUUCAUGGUAUUUUAAUGAAAAUUUAGUUUUUCUCUUUUCAAGAAAUUGUCAAAAAAAUUAUUUAUCUUUAAGGUAAUGAAUGACCUUGGUUCAGUAUAAAGGGUUGGGUUGUAACAUUAUUAUUCUAAGGUUCACUUUGUUCAAGAUUAUUAUACAUGGUUGCAGUGUCAUUGACAGAAAUGAUGAGAGUUCUUGUAUGAUCCUACAUUAUUGGAAAAUAUAUUAUGACGAGUGGAAAACAUUCAGAAUGCACUCUCGAGAACUAAUGUGUCACGAUACAACAUUCUGAACACAUAAGAGAUCAAUCAACUAUUCAAGAAUGUUUGUAAUGAUAAUUGUAAUCGUACAAUUAAUUUUUGAAGAGUCAGUCCAUGGUCAACACGUUGAUUCCUGUUGUUGUAUCCUCAGUCAUAAUAUUGCACGAUCAAUUACUACACGAGCAACAUAAUUUUUUAUUAUGGGUUUAAAACCCUCCAAAUGUAGAUGUCGUGUCAUCAAACUAGGUUAUCAAAGUUUGAUGUAUUUUCUAUAUUUUUAUAUGCUUCCGUAGUUGUUCUUCCUAUAUUAACUCACGGUACGAAAACUAUACUAUAAUAACUAAGUGUGUGUUUCUCACUAAGGUUUUAAGUUAAAUUGUUUAUGAAAACAUGUUUAUAAAACUGUCACGACUAAGUCUUUGGACUUAUUCUUUCAAAAAAAAUUCUCUUUCCAGAUAAAGAUUAUGUAUCUCCGAGUGUUGAACUAAUUGCUACCAAGCCAAUAAGAUUUUAGUUAUGAAAAGGAAUUGUUAUGUUAAAAUGAGUCAUCUUGCUAAGUUUAAAAAGAUUUGUGAAAACUUUAUGAUUUUUAUGCCGCACAUGCUUUCUACAUUGUUUUGAUAAAAGUCAUUUCCUAAGUGGGUUACAUCUCAGUUUUGUAUUUCUAUGAUUGUUAACAACUUCUGCUUGUAAAUUAUUUAAUGAUUCAAGGUUAAGGGCCAACUGGUGUCAUUCAAAGGAGAUUGAUAUCAGUUAACAUCACGUCAUCUCUCGAGUCUAGAGUAGUGAACAUCCAUUUGAUAUAAUUAAUUUCCAAUUCUUUAUAGUCGCAACUACUAGAAAAGUUCGUACGGUGACCAUUUUUGCCACUAGAGAAAAGAUCUCGUUAUAUUUUAUACCUACAACCUCAUGAUUUCCAAAAAUUACAAGAAGAGUCUUGUGUCUUUCAAUCUCUCCACUCACGUUAUAUUUGAUUUUAUACACUCGAAGCCUUCUUGCUUGGGGGCAAGCCUUCCAUGACUCAAGUCUAGUUAGCUUCUCUCCGGCCAACAUCUUUCAUAACUUCAUUAAAAUUUUGAGGUUCAUGGCCAAUAGUCACUGCUGCAAGAAAUACGUGAUGUUGCGCAAAAAAAUUAUCAUAAUUCACACAAUAUGCUAUAGAGUGUGGAGUACCUAAGGAGCUUGUGAACACCGAUGAAUUUAGGGAUGGAUUUUAUUGUCGUGUAGGUUUAUUAAUAAAAUCACGAAGAAGAACUUAUGGAUGUUUGGUUCGUAGAGACUUGUGCCCAAUUCAACCACAUCACUUACUUGUUUUCAUCGUGUAACAUAGUUGGUGAAUGAAUCGUUGUGGUGGUGUGAUUAGAAGUUUCACCAAAACAAUUGUCAAAACUUUCAUCCUCAACAACCCUUGAUUAUCAACCACUCCAAUGAAUCUUGUGACUUCUUCUAUAGGAGCAACAUCAUAAGAGGAUACUACUUCCUAAAAAAUAUUUUCCAAAUUGUUAGAAGUUGUGUAGGCCCGCGGAUAAUUUAUUUGUUCAGUUUGGUUUCUUCUUGGUUGACGUGGCAAACGGCGUUUGUUUAAAGAAAAAUUGUGAAGAAUGAUAUUCUGUUGGGACAAAGAUUGUAUUUGGUUCCUUUUCGAAAAAGAUUCUUUCCUUUUUUAUUGAAGAUUUGUCGUUGGGGUUAUUAUGUGCGUGUAUGGACAUUAUUCGACAUAUGAUUCAUUUUGUAAGAUUGAGAAACACGUUGUAGCUGGGCAAGAAGAUAGACAGAAAAAAUAGCUUCUCCAUUAAACAAUUAAUUAUUCAUAGAACCCAAAGCGUGUAAGUCCUCUCUCAAUGGUGUGAUUUGUUGUUGUUACUUGGAUCUGUUAUCAUCUAGUACUGAGAUUAUAACAUUCUAAGUUCAAGCUUCUGUAGUAUGAUGUUUUAGAAGAACUUUCAUGUACGUCAUGAUGAAGGACGUGUUUCAGGGGAGUUCUUUCAUUUUACUACCUUAAUAUGUUGAUUAAUGAGAAACUUGAUUAAGAGGAAGAUUUUGGUUAGCCAAAUCUAUCUUUGAAAUAGUUUAGUGAUAGUGUUACUUGUUGUAAAAUUGUAUCACGGAUAGUACUGAGUGAAGAAGUUUAAUGUGAGACUCUCUACUUAGAAUCAUAAUAGUUUGAUUAUGAUUUACAUAUCAAAGAAAUAAAAUAUAUGAUCUCAGGUCAAGGACCCCAGACGUAGAUGUUGUUUCAUCGAACUGGGUUAACAAUGUUUGUGUUUCCUACUAUCUCUAAUUAUUGUUCUGAUUGUUAUAUCCCUGCAAUUAACUGUGAGUUCUUCUAAAUCUCUGUCGUUGAUUCUUUCACUGUUUUAUCACAAAUCAUCUAAAAUAGGAUUAGAAUUUACCAUAUUUCUAUCAAUAAUUCCAUAAUUACUAGGUUCAACAUAUAGAGAAAUUUAUUCUCAUAGAAUCUUACAUCUAGUGAAACAAAUAUUUUUUCAAUUACGAGAUUGUCUAGCUUCCACCCUUUCUUAUCAUAUGGAUAUUCAAUAAACACACACUUUUGACUUUGUGGAGCAAAUUUAUCUUCUUUUGCUCGUUGAUUUUGAGCGAAACAAAGGCAUCCAAGAACAUGUAACACAUCAAGGUCUGGAACAAUGCCCAAUAGAAAUUUAAAAGAUGUUUUAUUUUGCAAUAGACUUAAAAGUGUAAGAUUAAUCAAAUAAAUUGCACCCAAAACACAUUCUCCCCAAAAUGUAAAAGGAAGAUUUCCUUGAAACAUUAAAGCACGAGCCACAUUAAGUAUGUAUUGAUGUUUGCAUUCUGCUCUACCAUUUUGUUGUGGAGUUCCAACACAUGAAGUUUGAAAGAUAACUCUACGGUCGGUUUGAUAUAUUUUGAUAUGUCUUUCUCAUCAAAAUAGUCAUGCAUGCAUUGAAAUUUCGUCCCAUUGUCACUUCUCACUAUUUUAAAAGAUAUCUCAAAUUGACGUUCAACCAUAGCAAGGAAGGAAGGGAAUGAUUUCGAAACUUCAAUUUUAUUUUUCAACAGAUAAACCCGAACAACUCUUGAAAAACCAUCUACUAUAGUCAGACAAUAAUGAGAAUCACAGGAAGAUGGUGUGUUGUUAUAUGGACCACACAAAUCAUAAUGAAUAAGUCCAAAUAAACGAGACUUUGUUGUCACUAACAGAAAAACUAUCAUAAUUAAGUUUGUUUAGCCUGAGAACACGACACGUGCAUUAUUCAAUUUCAUUUUGAUAGAGCUACAAUGAAUGAUAAGGAUUAAAUAGAUGACCCAAUCUUCUAUGUCAUAACUCAAACUCAGAUAUUUCUGGAACCUUUACUGCAUACAUGUAAGAAUUGCACCGCACGUAAAUCAUAGAGUCCAUCCUUUCGUCCACCGGCACCAAUGAGGCUCCCAAAAUGUUGGUCAUAUGUUGCACACAAAGUAGUGUAAAUCGAACAACACAAUUAGCAUCAUCAAUCAAUUGUGACAUCAAUAUUAAAUUGUGUUGGAAGGCAGGUGAUAAUAAAACACGUUGGCAAAGGGUAGCAUGCCCCUCCAUUGUAGGGAAUGCCACAGUCCCAUCUGGCAAGCUUACAAGACUUGAGAUGAUUGUGUUUGUCUGAGUCAACAAAUUCAGAUUGCCAAUCACAUGAUGAGAUGCUCCAAUAUCAAUAAUACACUCCAUAUAUAUAUACACUUGUUUAAACACAAUUUAUAAAAUCCAAUCACCUUCUACAUUCAGAUUUCAAAUGUGUUCUCACCUAUUUUGAUAAAUCAAACCAAUGAAAAGUUGGCAAAUGAGUUCAGACACUUGACCCAAACAACCAAUGGACAAAUGGUAGCAACACUAAAGCUCACAACAAUUGAAAUUCGAAAAUUGUUGAAAUACCAAGACAAAGGAUCUAAAAAUGGGCGAAGUCUUGAACCACCAAAACUAAAAAUUGAUAAUGGGAGUAAUGGUGCUAAUAAACCACCCAAACAAUGGAAGAUAUUAAACCACCAAAGUUAUGGUGAGGGAUCUUUUUUUUCUCUUUGAAAUUGAACAAAAUCUUGAAACAAACGUAGAUCACUAAAACCAAGACAGUAAAGCCACAAUCGGCAAUACCCAAAUGACAGCAAAGAUUAUGGAUGUUGGUUGCUACACUUCAUUUUUCAUUUUUCCCUUCUCCAACCAUUUGGUAGGUUGUGAUACCAUGAUAGGACAGUUGUUUCCUUUUCUCUUUUUCAUUCAGAAUAAAAUCCAAUAUAUAACUAACAAUCAACUAAAAUCAAAAUACAAAUGAAAAAUUAUAAAAUUUUACGAAACAUAUAUAAAAAUAUAUUUUUAAAGUAGUAAUAAACCUGACUUUCAACCUUAAACGGUUGAAGGUUCAAUCUCCCAUCCCACAUUAUUAGUACUAGAAAGAAGCCAAAAUAGUUGAUUUAGAUCGCUCAAAUAUAGACAAAAUAAUAUUUCAAACACACAAAUGGACACGUUUAUCAAGAAUCUAAUCAUUCAAAAGAAAAAGAAGCAAAAUAAAAGAUAUACAAAGAAGAAAAAAAGUAAACUAAAGACAUACCUAGAUUGAUUUGGUGAGUGUUUAAAAAAAAAGUUUUAAAGAUACUUAGAAAUUCAAGUCAAACAAAUUAUCUCAACUUUUUCCCAACAAAUAUAGUUUGUCGGGCUUAUCUACUCUGUAAGCCGAUUAAAUUUGCUUUAGUCGAUCGAUUUUUUUUUUUCGUUAGUAAAACAAUUGUUGAGACGAGAAUCAAACCUCCAACUUUUAGUAAUGGAGGCUUAUAUCAAUUAUCAUUAAACUAAACUUAUUUUAAUAAAUUAAUGAUAAAUUAUGUCAUAUAUGUUCUUAUUUGAAGUGGCUACUUUUAUUUUCAUUAUUUGUUUUAAAAGAAUAGCUUUUGAAGAUAUUUUUUUUAUUUAAAAUCAAAGUUAUUUAAAGUUCAAAUAUUUUAUAUAAUGGCUAAAAAGGUUGAACAAAUGUAAACAUAAACAACUAAAUGGAUAAUACUAAUUGCAUUAAAUAUUAAUUAUUUAAUGCCCUAUCUUAUUCAAACAAAACUAAAAUAUGAUCCACUAUUUAAAUGCUUGUAUUGUUAAUAAUGUAAUGGGUGACAAUAAUAGACUAGAAAAUUUCCAAACAUUACUUGAACUUUUUGAUUCGGCACGUAGAGCAAAAUAAUCAAAUUCUAUAUUUCGUUUUUUUUCUUUAUAUUCUAAUUUAUCCUUUUUUAGUGCACAUCUUACUAAUUUUUGUACCAUAUGUUUAUUAAAUUAACGGCUUGCUUCUUGUAAACUUUGAAUCUAAUAAAUUAAGGAUCUUUGUAGUAUGAAUACUUGAACUUUAUGCAGUGACAUAAAAGUGAAUCAAGUUCGAGUUAAUAGCCUAAAUAGUCUAUAGUAUAGAAAUAGAGUUUGGUGCCUUAUUUUAAGGACAUUAUAGAUGUGAUCCACUUUGUAUAUAGUACAAACGAUGUUAUUCUAAAUUGUUCCUGUAGAGACAUGUGAGUGAGGGUAUCAUAUGCAAAGAGUUUGUAUAAGACCAGACCACGAGAUAGUACUUUUAUAUUAUAACGCUCUUUAGUGUUUAAAAUCAACUAUUUCGACUUUAAUAACCUAGGUAACUUGACCUUGAUUUUAAGUCAACUAUGAACUCUUGUUUAUUUGAUAUUAUCCUUAGGUGUGCAUAGGUGAUGAUAGCUCAAUAGCACUAAUCCAAUGGACUUCCCAUUUUAGGGGUAAUAUCGAGUGGAUAAUUGAGGACGUAUGGUGCAAUACAAAAUUCUCCUACUCUGACUUGUAGGGAUAGUAGAGAGAGGUUAUUUUCUUAAGUGCUGACUUUGAGACUUGAAUAAUGGGUCUCACUCUUUCAUUGGCCUAAGAGAGAUUUGGUUUAAGGGUUGGACCAUAAACCAAUUGUUCAUUAAAGAAUCGGUUGAGACUUGAGAAACAAUAUAUAAUCUCGAAGUUAAAACUGUAUUUUGACCUAGUCGAGAUUAUGAACAACCUGUGAAUGAUCGACUUACUAAAAAUAGUUAUAUCAAGUGGACACAGAUAUAUCUAUAAUGAUGAGAGUGCAGUAUUGACCUAUAGUGAACAAUCUUGUUUGUUAAUGAAUGUUGGCUAGCUAGGUUAAAAUGUUUAGCUUGUUAAUCUCGAAUUGUUGGAGAUCAUGAUCCGUAGUUUAAAUAUUAAUUAAUUAAAUAGUUUAAUGGAUUAAUUGUUAUUAUUUUAUUAUUUAAUUGAAUUUUUUAAAAUUAAUUAGAUUAAUUGUGAAAUUCAUUUAAAUAAAUGGAAUUAUGAAAUUCAAUUUAAAAAGUCAAAAUAUUGACUUUAGGUUACCGUGGUCUGUUUCCUGUUCUUGUUUUCAUUUUUUAAAAAACAGAUACGUUUGGUAACGUUUCCUGUUUCUCGUUCUAAAAAAAAUAGAAACAUUUCUCAUUUUAUAAGAAAUUAUUAGGAGAAAAAAAAAUAGUUUCUCUUGUUUCGUUUCUUAAUUAUUUUUAUUGGUUUCCUUUUCUUUUUCUUUUUUCUCAAUUAUUUCUAUUGGUUUCUUUUUUUUGUUCUCAAUUAUUUUUAUUGGUUUUCUUUUCCUUUUUUAAAAUUAUUUUUAUUGGUUUCAUUUUUCUUUUUCUUAAUUAUUUUUGUUGGUUUCCCUUCUCUUUUUCUCAAUUAUUUUCCUAUUUCCUUUUUCUUUUCCAUUUUCCCACACGUGGUUUCAUUUUCUUCCUCUUAUUUCCAUCUUUUUUUCUCAAAUAACCACUUUAUGUGGUUUUCUUUUUCUUUCUCUUAUCUCCAUCGUCUUCCCUAAAUAACCAACGUCUUCCCCAAAUAACUAUUUUCUUCCCCAAAUAACCAUUGUCUUCUUCUUCCUCUUAUUGCUUUUGUCGUGGGGUUUUGUCUUCCUCCUCGUCUGCUCUGUCCUUCAGAUCUCAAUCUUCAUCUUGAUCAUCAUAAGAUUACUAGAAGACCUUCCUAUCUAGGUUUGAGAAAGUGAGUGGUGUAAUGUUUAAUUGAAUUAUAUGUGAAUAAAAUAGUAUGAAUAAAAUAAAAAAAAAUAAAUCUCGAAGAAAACUAGGAAACAAGAAAUAUUUAUCAAAUACAUUCAUGUUUCUUGUUGUAAAAAAAGAAGAAACAUGGAACAUAGAACAUAGAACAUAGAGCAAGAAACGGGAAACAGGGAACGAAGACGUUACCAAACAGGCUUUGAGGUUCUCCAACUUGGAGUUGAAGAUUAAUAAGAUGCUGACUUCUUGUGUUGUUAAACUUACAAAGCUCCACGAAUUCCAUUUAACUAAAAUCAAAUUAAAAACUAAUGGUUAGUUUGCAUGUGAUUGGCUAUCUAUACUUGAGUCUUAAUGUGAUUAAAACUUAUCGAACAUCAAGUAAUAUGCUAGAAAUUACUUUGUGUUCUUGCAUUCUCUUCUCUAAAAAACACUCACCAAAUUGAUUAUUAAAUUGAUCCCACAACCAAGCUAUGAAUAUAGAAGAUGGUAAAAAAGAUCUUGGUGGUCGUUCACUGCUUGUUUGUUAUCUAUUACAACAUCAAAUACACUGAGGUUCGAGCUACAUAAUAUCUUCAGACUCUAUUUUUUGAAGAUUUAUCAAGGCAGGUUUAAUCCAUUAAAUUGAUGUAAUUAGGAUGAUAUUUGAUCCAAUUGCUUUGGUUGCAUGAUUACUUAAUCCUUCAUCGACUAACGAGAAUAACUGCGAAAAGAUAAGAAAGAAUAGGGAAAGAAGAUUUUCAGAGAACUCUUAUAUUCUCUUAAAAAUUGGAGGAAUUUUUUUGGAGUCUACAAAAUGGAUGUAGAGAUUAUGUCGUACCGUGUUCCAUGAGAGUUUCCCAAGGCCUUUGUUACACCCCCUCCCCGACGCACUUCCCUAAACUUAAGAGAAGGCAUGAAGCCAAUAAGUAUUGCUCAACUCCAAACAACACUCACUAACCCUAACUUGACUACUAACUCCAUUACUAGAAGAUAUAUGAAGAAAAACAUAUGCAAUACUGAUCAUAAAUGCAAAUUCUACUUGAUAGUGCAGCCUAUAAUAACACUAUACUAAGGAUUAGAGUUUAGAGUAAAAUAGCAUAAACCUAACCAACGGAAACAAAGGUUUAACACGAUCAAAUGUUCUAACUUGAAAUUCAUGUUAAAAUCAAAAUUUAAAACUUAUUUUUUGACUCAUGGAUUUUAAGCUAACUCCCAGUAUGUCUAUAAAUUUGUUUGAUCUAUAAAUUUGAACAAAUCCUCUUGGUCCUAAAUAUUCCAAACUUAUGCUAAAAAAUCUCAAAAAAAUAAAAAAAUAAAAAGGUCCAAAAUGGCACAUUGAUACGGGUGGCGCAUGGUUGGACGACAGGUAGGUUACACGCACGCUUGUAAGCCCCCUUAGGGUACCAGGCCACUUGCUAACAUUGCAAGGCAAAACAUGCUUUAUAAAUCCUUCGUCUUAGUCAUUGUAAUACUAUUUUCUUAAGACUAACUCAAAAUUGAAACACUUCGUAUCUUUAAAUUAGAUAUUUUAUUGCUAUUCAAAUUUUUGGUUCAUAAGCAAAAACAAUCAUAUUGUAUACCAAUCUUCACUGCAUGAGAUAACUUUGAUGAUACCAUAGAUUUUCUAAAUGCUUGUUAGUCAAUUUUUAUCUAGAUGUAUUUUGAGUUUUUAAAACGUUUUUCUCGAUGGUACUGCUUGCAAUAACAACCUUUUUCCUUGUGUUUUACAGUUGAAACCUUUGUUUGACAUCCAAGCUUCCAAAACGAUAAAAUUGAGUUAAUAUUUCAAUAUAAUUUUGAAACUAGCAAAUAUAAAGUAACUUUUAAUUAGAGACACUGCUAAAUUUGAAUUAAUAUCUAUCAUUGAUACACUUACAAAAAGUUUAUGGUAGAAUUUAAAAUUUUGUAAAUAUUUUAGAAAUUUUUAUCAUUUACAAUAAUUCUUUUUAAAAUGGUCAAGAUUACCAAAAUAUUAAAAUUAUGCAUGUUUGAAUAAAUAUAUUAAUUAGCUAGAAGACAAUAGGUUGUGUGAUAUGUUAUCAAUUUGUUUAUAAUUUUCGAAACUUCGUAUCUACUUCAACUUAGAAUUGAGUAUAGUUGAUGGAUAUGUAUUACAUUGAUUUUCUUUGUUAUUUAUUUGUUCAUGAAAUCAUAUAUAGAGUGAGAUUUUAUCUUUCCUUUUCAAGGAGGAAGAGAAAAAAGAUGUUGAAUCAUUUUUGUCAUUCCCACAUUUUUCUUUCUCUAUUUGUUCAUUAAACAAAAAAGCUAUAUCUUUAAAAAUUUUAUGAAUUAAAAGAAAUUUCCAAAACUAUAAAUUUAAAAAAGAUUUGUGGGUAUCAAUAUAUUCUAUAUAAACAUCAGAUUGAAAGACAGAAUGAUUAGGUACAAUUAAAUCACAAAGUUUGCUUUCCAAUCAAAAACUGAAACUUUAGGAAAUCUAAGAUUACCCAAAUCUUAAAUCACUGACUUUAAACACCCAAUCAAAUCUCUUCUUGCCUCUGCACCAUCUCUAUCUCUGCCCUUCUCUCCCUCAUCACACCUCUCUGCCUCUCUCAUUCUAUAUUACUGUAUUAUAUUCCCAUCAUCUCUAUUAUUCACUUUUUACAUUUUUUAUAUAUCAAUAUUUUCUUAUUUUAAAAUUAUACAAUGUGUAUUUACUACUUUUCAUUAACAAAUAAUUUCAACAUGAAAAAGUGUCCUUUUCUUUUAUUCUAUUAAUACUAUUUAAGAAGUGUCACCACUCACCAUGGACAACAGGAUAUAUACUCUCUCUGCAGUUCAAUGCCCUUUAGAAUAAUAUUUAAAAAGUGGGUUUCAAACCCUUUUUUUUUUUAAUAAUAAAACCGUGCUGAAAAAAAAUGGAAUAUUCUUAUUGUUUUUUCUAAGAAAAAAUAACUUCAUCAACAAAAAAAAGUAAAAAAACACCUAAUCAACAUAAAUAUUAUCGGUUUGGUUAAUGAAAUUAUUAUUCUUUUAAAUAACAACUUCAAUAACAACAAUAAAACGGUAAUUCACAAUUUAAAUGGUAAAGUGAAAAAAAUAUUUGAAGUUUAGUGAAUUUUUUGUCUAAAUACUCUGCUUUUUAUUAUUCUUUCUGUCUUUUUUUAAAAACAAAAAACAAGUCAUCCAUAUUAUAUUUUGUUAAGUGGUAAUGACUUUUCGACAGUAAAGAGGUGACUUCUAGAGUGUAAUUGAUGUUGACAAACAUUACUCUUCGAGAUAGAAUACAAUAAAUGUCAAUUGGAUGCUUCUUUUUGUGGUGGAGGUGGUUAUAUACACAUUGAAUGAGUACGUAGAGUGAUAUGAAAUGGUCUUUUCAAUGUAUAUAUGAGAUACAUGUGUAAAAGAAAAACAAAAUACCUACUUACAAAUAUAAUUUCAUGAGAGCCAAACUUUAAGAAAAUACAAAAACGAAAAUGAAAAAAUUAAAUAAAUAUGAAAGUAGUGAUUUGAAGAGUAAAACAAUGCACCAUUUCAUGUUAUUUUAUAAUAGAUAGAUAAUAACGUUAGAAUAAAAAUUAUUGCAUUAAAAAGUAAAUAAAACCAUAAGAUUUUAUGUGCAAUGUAUGUGUUUCUUAACUAAUAAACAAUAAAUGAACCCUAUAAAAUUGUAUUGACGUUAUAAAUUGUUUACUUUUCGUUUAAAUAUUAAAGAUGUGAGAUCAGAUUUAACCUAACUAUUGGGGUCUACACUCAUGUUAACAUGUUUUAAUUAGUUAAAUUUCAGUAGACAUGAAGCAUAGAUUGACUUGAUAACGUUGACCAUUGUUUCAAAACUAAAAGACAUUUUUUAGAAAACAAUUUUAGAAAAACACUCAAUGGACUAUCUCUAAGGGUUUUUCUUUUUUUAAUUUUUAUUUUUGGUAUUUAAAGGGAAAAAGACCCCUAUGGCCCUUUUGGCAAUAAAGAGAUUUUUAGGGUUAGUUCAAUAUUCACCUUCCCAUCAUUUGAAAAAGAAGAAAAGGGAAAAAGAUACACCCAACCAAAGAAAAAAGGAAAGAAAGAAAAGACCUCUCUCACAUAUUUGUUUGAAAAUGUAUGCAAAAGCGAAUUUGGAGUUUUGUAAUGAUGAAAAAAAAAAAAGAUGAAAUUCUAGAAAAAGGAAAUAUUUUAUUAUUGUUAUUAUUCUCUUCAGUAUAUGAAUUAACUAUUAAAGUCUCUUAACUACAUGCUAUUGAAAAUUCUUUUUCUAUGAGAAUAUAUGGUAUUAAAUUUCCCUCAACAAAUUGACAUUUCCACAGAUAUUGACCUAAGAUGAGAUGUUAAUGGACGUGUUCUAUUUGUUUUAAUUAAAAUAUGAAAUGUUGAUUUAGUUCAAUAACUCAUUUGUUUUUUAAUAAUUUUUCAUCAACUAUUCAUCUAAAUUAAUAUAAUCUACAUUAAUAUUGUAUGAAAAUCUUUAUCUAUAUAUCUUAUCUUUCUAAAAUGAAGAUGUAAACAUUCAUGUCGACAUCAACACAUGUUAAACUUUGCGUACAUAUAUACUUUUGAAAUAAAGACGUUUGAAUGAAAAAGAAAAAACAUGGUAGCCCCCAUAGAUUGAAAUUAGGGAUAGCAUGGCAAUAUGUGAUGGGCCUACUUGUUUUGCUACAUGUUUAGGUAAUGCAACAUUGGUCAUUUUCAUAUAGAGAGAGAGAGAGAGAGAAAAGAAAAAAGAAAAAGAGAUGUGUCUAUUCUCAACUAUGAGAGCAAUGAAAUUUCUUCUCACAUGGUUGCCUCAUUUUACAUUAUUCUGCUUUCUCUCUUGCACAUGGAAAGAAUCUUAGGGUUCUCUCUCUCUCUCUCUCUCUCUCUUUUUAAGAUGGUUUUGUUUUUCAAUUUUUCUUUCUCUCUCUCAAUCUCUCCAAAUGUUUGUUUGCUUCAUAAUUUACUCAAUUUCUAGUUUGGACAUGUUUGGUUCGGUUUUAAAAUGUUUUUAAAUGAAAAAACAAUGUCUAUAAACACUUAGUGUUUAUAAACCGUUCAAAACAUACCACUAAAGUUUUUAGUCUCUAUAGUUGAAACAAUUACUUUCUUUUUAUAAUUUGUCUAUUUAAAGGAAAAUUCUUUUUUUUUUUUUUUUUGUAAACAUCUUAGAAGAGAAACGAAACCCUAAAUUACUUAUUGAUAAAAAAAAAAUGUUAAGUUAUGUAGGAAGAUGAAUGUAAUAUUAUAUCAUUCAACACUCUCCUUCAUGCGUAAGCUUGAAAUACAAAAAAUACCCAAGAAGUAAAAUUUAAUAUUAAUUGAGGGAGGAAACAACACAAUAACCUAGAGGUUUGAAAACAAUCCCCCUAAGCCAACGCUUACUUUAAUAUCAUCUUAAAUUAUCAAUUGAUCCAAAAAUUUAAGCUAGUGAGUGAAGGUGAAUUUCACUAAAUAAUCAUUCCAUUUAGGUGGUGAUUGUAAGUUUUAUUUCAUGAAUACACAAUAAAACCAUAACAUUGUAUAAAACAAUAAAUGUCAAGAUUUUUGAACUAUAUGAUUUUAACGAAUUAAAUUUAGUUAGAGAAUCACAUAGCUUGAUCCAUGAGUGGUUUUCUAAGGGAUUGUGUUUCUCUCACUUGACUUUCCUUAACAUAACUAAUUUUCUUGAUGGGGAAGAAUGAAUUACUUAAUGAGGCAGUGAGAGGAUCAAUCCCUAAGGUUCUAUUCAUAGACACCACCCAUCAUGGUGUUUAAUUAGGGUAUUAUUUUUUUACCUACUAGACCUAAUAAAAUAAUAGGCUCGAAAGAGAUAAAAUAACAUAUAAUGCAUAUGGACCACAUUAAUAAUUAUCUUAUAUUUAAAAUAAAUCUAACCGUGAUUAAAAUAAUCCUAAUUUUUUUUUCAAUUGAUUGUGUUUGAGAGUAACAUCAAAAAGUGUAAGCACUUAGAAUGGAGAGAAAAAAUAUAUAAAGAGAGAAUGAUCGAACAUAAUUUAAAACUCUUGAUUGAUAGAAAAGUUAGUAAAGUUGGGUAGUUGGAUUAUAAAUAGUGUAUUAGUUAGAUAAUAAAGCAAAAGAAAUAUUUGGAAAGACAUUAGACAAUAUAUUAAAGAAAGAGAGAGAGUUUGAGUACAUAGGUUGCAAUCUAACCCCCUUCCCUACACACAUAAACAAAACUAAUAUUUUUUUUUCAAAAAAUAAAAAAUCACGUGACAACUUCUAGUUUGAUGCAAUAGAAAUUGCAAAAUAGAUGAGAGUAGUCCCACGACACUUACACUUCUUUUCCAAUAGCAAUAUAAGUCGAACAAAAAAAUAAAUAAAUAAUGUCUAUACACAUGUCAGGAAAAAUUUAUCAUAUUAUACAAGUCAGAAGUUGUGUUGUCACGCCCUGACACUUCCUGCGAUCAAAUGUGGGACGUGACGCCUAGACAUUCAUCACGUAUCUCACUACAAGAUGACGUGAAGAAUGCCUAGUAAGUGAAACAACUUACUCCAACUUGCUUUGAUCACAAGGCCUUCCCCUCGAACCUUAGAAACUUUACUCAUCACAGUGGAAAAUAUGUACUCUUUAGACUUACUCAAUCGCUUAGCACUCUUGUCACAACAACAAAAUUCAUUCCUAAGCGAUAAGUACAAAAAAUAAGCAGCGGAAUAAACAUAGCUUCUCUUUUUAUUAACUCGACACUUUACAAUAAAUUCAAACUUAAUAGUUAAAUUCAUUUUCUCGCUAGGCAUAUAAAAUUAGAACUGAGUUUUGAUCCACUUUUCUUCCUCCACGAUCCAAUGUUGCUCCUUAUAAUAGGGUAUGUAGAGGUGUAAAAACCUCAUUUUCAUCCUUCUCCUCGGUCGCCCAAUAACCAUUUCAGGAACAACCUUCAAUGCUUUCUUUCUUUGGCUCAGUUCCUUCACACUCAUUAUCUCUGGCCUCACCAACCUUAACGUGUUAGACAACCUUUCUUCAAUUUGAGUAGGAGCCCUUGAAGUUAAGGAGUAAAGUUCUUACCCACUGACUCCGUAAACACAAGGUAGGAUGACAUGGCUUGGACGCCGCACAAGUUUUCAUAACAACCCUUCUUUUCCUUCUUUACUUGGCUUCUACACCUGACCCCUAUUCUUUAGUUGGCAUCAACGCCUGACAACCAAUGGAGGAAAGACUUAAAACAUAAGUCAAAGAUUUAUUGAGUGAUAGGGUCUAGGAAAUUUUUUUUGAGACUACAACAUAUUCAAUAACAACAUUAAUACUAAGCUUCAUAAACACGAGCUUUUAUCGCAUCAAACACAACCACAACAUUUACAACAAUUUCACACGGUUCAAGCCAUCAGAGUAUUCACUACUCAUAUAUCACCGGGGUCUGGGAUUAUUCCAUCGCCUGGACCUGGGAUUUACACUCACCAGUGUCUUGCAAUUUUCCUAGGACUUCCACUAGUGUCUCAUAAUAUUCAAUCUCAUCUCAGACGUGGGAUUCACUUUCAUCAGCUUUUUCACAUAUCAUCUCACACUCAAAUUUGGGAUUCACACUCACCAACAUCUAGUAUUUCAAGAACACAACUCAUAUACUCGCUCAAACAUAGGAUUCACUUUCACCAGAGUUUACCCGCUUAGACCUGGGAUUCAUACUCACUAGCAUCUCACAUUAAACAUGGGGUUUCCACCAACGUCUUGCGAUAAAUCAGCCACCAUUACUCGUCACAACGCCAACAUCACAUAAAAAGCAUUAGCUGAACAUAACACUUUCAAGAUGUGUCAAAUAUCAUACAACAAGCAUCAGAAAGGGUUACAAAAGAAUGUUAUUCAUACAACAUUCAUAAGAUACUUGCAUGUUCGUCAAUAUCAUAAAUUAAAACACUUAUGUGAUAUACAAUAUGCAUUCAUUUAGAAGGAUAUGGAAUCGUUUACAACAAACAUUUGUUUUAUAAGGAUCACUCACAACACUUUGCCUCAACUCUUUCUUUCUCUGGCUUUCCGCUUCCUCUUCUUGCCUCGUGGUUUUCUUUAACCGAUUUUUCAAGACUCUAAAAUAUACUCUCAAUUCAGUAGAACGUUUAGUAAAUGUUUUUCCCUUUUUCGUCCGACCUUUGAUCCUAUUUAUAGUGACCUUUCACAUCUAACGGUCACUUCUUUACACAAGUCACCUUUCUGUUUUGAUGUACACAGCAGCCAACUCAAACUCGACACGUAAGUCAAUCGUCAGUUACGAAUAGACGCUCUCCUUGAGACGCCAACCUUAUCUUCUUGGAAAGCUAAACUUCUUUAAGUCGCCUAACUCUCUACUUGGAAAACACAGACUUUUACUCUUCGUCAGAGGGUUGUCUGGUCACUUCAAUCGAACACUUACCGCAUCACCACAUUCUUAGGCAUAAGUACUUUCCCCGCAUGGCUACUCCAAUCACCUAGUCUUAGGUAUUAAACGCAACUUUUUCUUUGCCAAUAGCCCCAACCUGUUACCUAAUUCCAUGCAAUGGCUCUUACACUCAAAUACUUCUUUUCACAUCACCAUUUCCCCAAUUGCAUCCUUCUUGGCAGAACGCUUCUUUCUACCUUGGUCAAAAUAGCUUAUCUUAGUGGAGUUCUUCUUCAACAAAACUCCUUUUGGAAUCGGAAUCUUACAUGUGUGACCAGUUCACCUCUCCUGAUGGUUUCUUCGUCAAUUUGUGGGAUGCUAUUUUUUUCUUUUUGUUAUAUACAUGAUAAGUUUGCAACUCUUUUUUACACUUAAUUGCAUGUUGUGAGUGAAAGGAUAAAAGCCUAUGGCAGUGGAAGAUUUUACACAACCAUUUCUCAAAUUAAUUUGGGAAUCUCAAAAUACCGGUACAUUGACAAAAUAAUUAAGAAACUGGUUUUCUUAUUAAGAUUUAAAGUCUAAGCAUGCUUUCUAAUUAUAGAUUAGAGAAAGAAAAUUUUAAUUGUUUAUGUCUCUAAAUCUACCAAGUAAAUCUUCAAAUUGGGACACCACCCGUUGGAGACCUUCCUAUCCUCUUGAUAUUUAUAAAUUUUUAUUAAUUCAUUAAAGAAAACUAUUUUCUUCUAGAUAUUUAUAACUCUUUUUCCUUCUUAGAGUAUGAAAGGGAGUUGGAGAGAAUCACAGUGAUUCUGUUAAUUUAAAAAUAUUAAAUUAACACAAAUUUCAAACCUACUAACUAAUUAACUAUUAAUCAAUUAGUUAAUAAUUAAUUAAUAUUUCAUUUAAAUCUUAUUUAAUAAAUAUCUCUCAAAUAUCUUAUAGUUUUAAUUAAUUUAAUUUAAUUUAAUAAUAUUAAACUAAACUAUUAAUUCAUUUUUUAAUUAAUUAAUAACUAAAUUAAAUAUCUUAUAUUUAACUUAAAUUAAAUUUGAAUCAUAUUCAAAUAUAAGUUUCUCUCAUAACCAAUAAUUUUAAUAUGAAUCUAAUUCACAUUAAAUUAAUAUUUUAACUCAUUCAAAUAUUUUAUCUCUCAUAAAUUAAUUUUGAUAAAUUGUAUAUUAUAAUGUAUCACCUAUAUGUUAAACUAAUUUUCAAAGUAAUUUUGAACAUUUCAAAUUACAACUAAUAUAAAUAAACAACACUACCCUUUAUGAGCUAGAAAGAUGACCUAAUGAACCUACAGAUCAUAAACUACAACGAUGUGAGAUUAAUUGGCUAAACUCAUUAACCACAUUAAUCAAUAUUCAUUAACUAUGUGUACACUCCACAAAAGUCUCAUAGUUGAACUCUUCUCACCAUAGAUAUACUUUUGUGUCCACGGAUAUAGAUCAAUAACAGUAAGUUAGUCCUUCACGAGUGUUUGUAACACCAGCUGGAUCAAAUUACCGUUUUAUCCCUAGGUUACAUCUAAUCCUUAAAUAUUAGUGCUCCUCUAAUGAACAACAUGUUUAUGGUCCAACCAAUAAACAAAAAACCUCUCGUGCCAUAAAGAAGGUAGUUGAGACAUCACUUCAGAAAACACUCAUCUACUAAUUACCCUAAAGUAGAAAAUGAGUGAAUUUCAUCUUCUGCAAUUAUGCUCCAAGCUCCUCACUCAAUCUUGUCCCCAAAAUGAUAAGUUUAUUGAGUCGAUGAUCUGACCACUCUCACCAGUACAAAUCAAAGGACAAUCCCUUGCGAACAAAAGUCCAUAAUAUACACUCAGAAUUAAGACUAAGUUACCUAGGUCAUCCUAAUGAAAUAGAAACCUAACUAGUUAACAAAAUUACAUCUAGUGGUUGGAUCAUUAUAUUUGUAUCAAAUACAAAGUGAGUCGUAUCCAUAGUGUUAACAGGAUAAAGUACCCAGCCUUAUCCCUAUACUAUAGACCCUUUAAGUUGAUCUCGAACAUUGAUCUAUGUAUGUCUCUACAUACUGUUCAAGACUCAUUAAACAGCUUAGGAUCUUAGUUUAUUGAAUUUGGGUUAUUAAGACAAUACUAAUAAUAUAAUCCAUAAUAAUUAUUACAAUAAUCACACUUUAUUAACAACGGUCGAUAGAUUAUAUUUACAAUCUACGAGUUUUAGGACAUAAAUCUUGGCUUGAGUCUGGAAUAGAAGGGUUGUUUUUAGAAAAAUAGGCAUUUGACUAUAAGAGCAUAUUUUAAGAAAGGUGUUUUGAAGAAUAGGCAUUUUGAUGGUUUCUUUUUCUCUAUCUUUUAAAAGGAGAAAAAACGAAAAAAAAUAAGGAUUUGAAUCCCAAAUAAAUUACUUAUUAUAUGAGGUGCGGAUCCUUGAGAUUAAAUCUCUACCAAAUUCAACCUCUAAAUAAGUUUAUUUCAACAUGAGAUUUGAUUUGCUUAAGAUAAAGUAAAGAGGAAAAAAGAGUAAAGACAAUAAGGUAAUCUAAAUAAUAAGAAAAACUCACCUUUCGGAGAUUUUUUUUUCACAUAGAUUCGCUCUAAAACUUUUCUUUGUACAAACUCUAUGAUGAAUUUUUUUCUCUAAGUAAUUUUCUUCUCCCCUUUUUCAAAUGACAAAAGGUCUCUAUUUAUAGAACCGGGGUGUACCACAAAUUAGAAAAAAAUAAUAAGAAUAAAAUCAAAAUAGGAUAUUAUGUUAAUCAAAUUAAUUUUCAUUUUCCUAAAAUAAAUUAAAUGAGAUUUUGUGAAAAAUAAAUUAAUAAAUCAAAUUGAUAUUAAAAUAUUUUUAAAAUAAAAUUAUUUAAUUUUAUGUCCUAAAAUGAUAUAAAUGAAAUAUUAUAAGAUAUUAUGUUAUUAUUAAUUUUUUUACCUUUUUUAAAAAAUUAAAUAAUUAAGUUUAGCCAUUAUUACUAAUAUUAUUUUUUUAAAAAAAUAUAUAUAUAUGUGUAUGAUAAAAUUAGGUGGCUACAGCAUGCCUCCUUCGUGCAUCCUUGUAGAAUUAGAAGGUGGACAAAGGUGUAGUCACUAACUCAUCAAACUAAAAUACUUUAGAUAAAUUGCCAACGUCAAGGACUAUAGAUAAAACAAGUGUCACGCGACAAAUGAUAAAUAAGCUGGAGGCCAGAGAUAAAACAAGUGUCACCGCAACAAUAUGGUGUUUAGGGCCAUGGAUAGAACAAGCGCCUCAUGACAAAAGAAUAAAUAAGUUGGAGAUUAGGGAUAAAACAAGUGUCACUGCAGCAAUACGGUGUCAAGGGCCAGGGAUAAAACAAGUGCUUCAUGACAAAAGAAUAAAUAAGCUAGAGACGAGGGAUGAAACAAGCGUCACCGCAGCAAUACGGUGUCAAGGAUCAGAGAUAAAACAAGCGCCUCAUGACAAAAGAAUAAAUAAGCUGGAGACAAGAGAUAAAACAAGCGCCACCACAGCAACAUGGUGUUAAGGGUCGGGCUAAAAUAAGCACCUCAUGACAAGAAUAAAUAAGCUGGAAACUAGGGAUAAAACAAACGUCAUCACAACUAAAAUUAAAUUGAUAAAUGUCAUUCAUGAAUGCUUGUAUGCAUGUAUAUGCUUACUAAGUCAUGCUUAUUUUAAUAGUUUACUUUUUUUCAAACAUUCUCUAGAUUCUUUUCAAAAGAAGUAAACGAGUCAAAGCAUACAAAAUAGGUGGUUUAUUUUUCACAAAAACGGUUAAUUAGGUAUCAUGAAGUUGGAAUGUAAUUUGGCUGCUAAAUUGCCUUGAAAUUCUCCUUAGAGUGAUCAUUUACCAAAUAAAACACCAUCUCUAGUCCUUGCGACCUAUGUUAGUAGGUCGAUAAAAGACAGUGAUUAUACAUAUUAGAUCUUGAUCUUAAAGUCCUUCCUUAGACUUUAAACUCUUCAUAAAUGAUGAACUUUAAAGGCUCUUAUAGUCUCUAAAACCAGGAAAUCUUCUUCAAAAUUGGCUCUCUCCUGCAAAUAACAAUGACAAACAUCAUGUGCUUUGCAAUGUAGUUUUACUCAGAUGGAUGAUACUUGAACUUUGACAUAGAAAGGAAAUUUCACAUUAUAUAUUAAAUAAGAGGAGACUGCCUUUAAAUGAUCUUUGAUUUAAUCCAUUUUAUGAGCAACAACGACGAAGAUUAUCAGAUAUCUUGUAACAUAGUCACUUCCAAAUUAAAUAUUUUGGCUUUCUGGUUGAACAAUCCUCUUGUUCUCUAUUCCAACAUCUCGAGGCAUAACAUAUUUUAAUUCUUCUCCUUAUGGUUAAGAGAUGAAAAAGUGAAAUCAAACCUUCAUGUUGAUUUCAUUUAUGAAGUUUUCAUUGAUAUAAUUUUUUUUCACGACAAUAAAAAUGAAUAUACUUGAACAAAAAUAGAAGCCAACAGUCCAUUUUUAUUGUGGAAAAAAAGGAUACAUAUGGUUAUGAAGAUGUCAUCCAAUUCAACAAAAGAUUAAAAGAUGCCCCUAUUACAAAGGUCUUUUCUUGAUCUUGAGGGUAGCCAAUAGAAAAUAACCUUCCAUUUUUCUAUCGAUCUUAAGCAUUUCCUUAUUUCUAAUUGUGAUGGUCCAAAUUUUGCAAGCAUGAAGAAACCUAACUCACCAUAUGGAAUUACACUACUAAAGAUGUGAUAGGGACAAGUGCCUCGUUGUCAUUUCUUUGCUUUAUUUUUUUCUCUUCAUAGUUCACUUGUUUAAAUAAUGGUAGUGACACAAGUCUGAUAAUGCUCUACCCUGAGUUGAUCUCAUGCACUUCAUCUUUUUAUUUAGUGGGAUCAUACUUUUGAUAAUGCUAACUUCUACUUCUGCAUCAUUUGUAAUCCCUUCUCCUUUAAACUUCAUUAUCAUAAUGUAUGAGGUAUUUUACUACAGUAUGGAGCAUUCAUAACAUUGGUGAGAUUUCCUUACUCAGUCAAAGGAGGUUGCUUUUGCUCAACUGGUUUUUUACAUUUUUAAGCACAUUUCUUAAAAGUGGUUAAUGCUUCCUUUUCUAAACACUGAAGAUUUAAAUGGUAUGAGGCCAAACUAAUAAAUGUCAUUGUACUGUUUCAUUACUUGUGCACUUGGGAGAUAUCCAACUACAUAUACCAAUGAGCAGUUGAGCCAAUUAGGCUAUCUUCUUACGAACAAACAACUAAAAAGAGAAGGAUGUCAAUCCACUUCCACAAUGACAAUUUCUUGAACUUGGGUGUUGUAAUGAUGACAUUCAAGACUAAACACAGUUGUGUCGUCGUUUAAAGACCUAGGGUGUACCACAAAUUAGGAAAAUAAUAAUAAGAAUAAAAUAAAAAUUGGAUAUUAGGUUAAUAAAAUAAAAUUUCAUUUUCCUAAAAUAAAUUAAAUGAGAUAUUUUGAGAUUUUGUGAAAAAUAAAUUAAUAAAUCAAAUUGAAAUUAAAAUAUUUUUUAUUUAAAAUUAAUUUUUUUUCCUAAAAUGAUAUAAGUAAGUCAAAAGUGAUAUAUUUAAAACAAAUUCAUUUCUUUUUUUCUAAAAUAGUACAAAUAAGAUAAAUGUGAUAUUAAAAGAUUUUUUUAAAAUAAAUUGAUUUAAUUUUAUUUCUUAAAAUGAUAAAAUGAAAUAUGAUAUGAUAUUAUGUUAUUACUAAUUUUCUUACCAUUUUAUAAACAAACAAAUAAAUAAGUUUAGUCAUUAUUACUGAUAUUAUUUUUUUAAAAAAAUAUAUAUAUGUGUAUGAUAAAAUUAGGUGGCUAGAAUUAUUGUUAUAGUUAAUGUACUUAAGGAGCAUGUAAACUAUGUCGUAGAACGCAUGAAAAUGAGUUAAUAAAGAAGAUGUUUUGUUAUUUCCGAUGCAUUCUAUUAUUCUUAUUGUUUAGUAAUUAAAGGAGAUAAAGUGAACUAGGUGAUAAAGCCAAGAUUUUUAAAAAUUUUAAGUUGAGCGUUCUGGCGUUCCACUUGACGCGUCAAGGCUGCUCAAGUUGGGUUGCAUGCCACAUAGCAAAGUUAAGUCGCGUGAAGAGGGGUGUGACAAGAUCAACACACAGGUGUGAGGAAUCUCAUCGUAUGAGGUACAAAAGAUCAUCUCAUUUUAUCAUUAUAGUUCAUUUCAAAUCUAAAUCAUUUAUUAAAUCAAGUUUAUUUUAAAGAUUUGAGAUCAUAAGGGAAAUCAUAUAAUUGAAGAAUUCAAUAGAAAUGUGUGAAUAUAUAUAAGGUUUAGAAGCACAAGAAUUCCUUUUGGUUCAAAAAUAUUUUAAGAACCACUCACAAUCAAUUAGCUUCUUCACCCAGUUCCUUAGCCAAGAAUCUCCUUGCACUUCCUUUAAUUCCUUGUCGAACUCAAGCUCACGAUAAAUCUCUGAAAAUCUUGAAAUUCUUUCAAUUCUUUCUUAAGUGAACACAAGGUAAAAACAGCUUAAACAAUUGUCGAACUUCAUCUAUUUAUAAGUCUCUUCAGUGAGACUUUCCAUACUGAAAUGAUUACUUAUGUCCUACAGUGAGAUUUAGCUACCCAAUGUCAAAACCCCACGUGUAACUGUCAUUUCCUUAUCCUAAAUUCAAUUGGACGGUAAAGUCAUAUUAAUCGUCGACUUUCUUACAUCAGAAUGACAUCAUUACUUCCAAGUGAAGAAAGCUCACCUCACCCUCCAGUCCAUCGAUUAGUUCCUUUGCAUCGUGUAAUUAAAACAAAAAGCGCAAGUUGCAGAUUUUCCAAUCACCAUCUUUUUCGUGCAUCCAGUUUCAUCGCAUAACUCACUCUUGCUGCAUGAAAUCUUAUCGCAUAGUUUAGGAUGCGAUCAGGGUCUCACAUGCACUAAGGUAUGAUAGAUUAAUGUUUUUAGGCCAUUUAAAGAGGAAUAGAUUAAUGUUUUUUUAGGCCAUUUAAAUAGGAAAUGAUGUUGAAGUACUCCUAGAUUGACAAGUUGGUAUUGAUACCUUAGAAACCAAAAUUGUAACUUUAGACACAUCAUCAUCGAUUUAAAAAAAUUUUAAGCUCUUCUUAAUUAUUAAUAAUAAUAAAAAAAAAAGUAUGUAUAUAAGGUUUCACAUUGUACAAACAUCUUAGAAUCAAACCGUACUCAACUAAAUUUAUCCCACUAAUUCUUUAAAUUCCACCUAAAAAAUCCUCAAAAUUUAUACUAAUGUUGACAUUCACCAUUUUCAUUUGACCUCCAACAUAUUCUUUUUCAUUCACCACCAAAACCAACAAAUACACGAGACAUCUUGCAAGUAGGUAAGAAAAUUAAUAAAACAACCAAAACCUCGCGAUCAAAAUCAUUACAUACUCGGUCGAGAUUUGAAAUCUACACUAACCUCGAGGAUAAAUAUAAAUAAACUCAAUCGAUAUCUUUAACUUAGCAUCGAGAUUACGUAAGAAGAAACAAAAGAAAAAAUUGUUGGCCUAAUUAGUAUGAAAAUACAAGAAAAACGUAGUUUCUAAAGAAAAGUAAGGUAUUUUGGAAAAAUAUGAAAUGUGGUUGUGAACAAGAAAGGAAAGAAAAUAACUUGAAAUUGUUCAACAAGUAAUAUAAUAAUACUUAUGGAAUUGGGGGCAUUUUUCGUCACAAGCGAAAAAGUAAGAAUCUUGUGAUGGAUUUCACUAUAUUCAUAUUCAGCUAAGCCAAGGAUGCAUUUGAGGCACACCAACUAAAUAAGAAAUCUCACGCUCCAAUUCGGGCAACAUAACUUGAGAAAAAUACCAUAACAAUUAUUUAAAAUGUGUGUUGUUUUUAAAAUACUAAACCUAAAACAAGCCAUUUUAGACCAUUUCUAUUAUCAUAAAUAUAACUCAUCUUUUUCUCUAACUUUUUUUCACAUUCUCUAACUUUAUUUAUCUCUAAAUAGUGGAGUGAAUAGUUAUCUUUUUUUCACAUGUAAACGGAUGUCAUUUGAUAGUUCAUUAUAUUACUAACUUUUUUCAAACAACCACUGUUAUCAUUAUCAAUUGUAUCUAUUACAUUUAAACACACAUUUCAACAAUAACAUCCUAUUAGUAAAUAGCUAAAAAGACUUAAAAGACAUAUGCAUUCAAACGAUUGUGUCUCAUCAAGAGAUGGAAAAAAUAGGCCUUUAUCAUAAAUGCAGGAGCUUUUCCAAAAUAAAAUAUAAAAAUUGACUUAUUUAAUACAACUUAUUUUUUUUCUAUUUUUGACCAUUUUUGACAAUUUUUUAAAUGAUGAAAAUAAAACAGGUAGAUAAAGAUUCUAUCUCUGGUAGUCUCGUCUAUAUUUAUAAUAUAGAUAGAGAUAGAGAUAGGAAAACUGCUUAUUAAUUUUAGUUAACAGUUGAGUCUCGUUAGAAUCCAAACUUAAUAAGAAUCAAUAUAAUUGAAACUUUUUUAAAAGAAUUUAAAGAUGAAAUAUCCACAAAUUCAAAGUUUUUUUUAUUGUAAAUUUGUAAACGUCAAAAGACGGCCUUCAUGGAUAACCAUUAUCAUACCACUAUUUGCAUAUUUCUUAAAGACAACGAUUAAAUUUUUAGCCACAAUUUAAAAAAGAAACAACUUUUUUAAAGGAUAUUUUUUAAAAUAGCAAAAUAAAUUAAAAUAUUUACAAACUAUAGCAAAAUUUUAGAUUCUAUCAAUGAUAGACUUCUAUCAUUAUCUAUCAAUGUAACUGAUAGAAGCAUAUCAUGGCUGAAAAUUUUACUAUAUGUUAUAAAUAUUAGAGGCGUUUGCAAAAAUAGCAACAAAAAAAAAAAACCGUAAACCCUUCCACAGUAAGAUUGUAUUAUUUUAAAUAUUUUGUCAAAUUUGCUAUUUUUUUAUAAUUUUCUUUUUUAAAGCUUUUUUUUUAUUUUUAAAUUUUAACUUAGUUUUUUAACCUAUCGGUAGAAUAUGGAUAAAGAAGGAAGAAAUUAAAUUUGGAGAUAGAAGUAAAGUAAGGAAUGUUAUAAACAUUUUUCUUAUUUCUAAACUAAAGAAUGCAAAUAAAAAUUUAAGGCUUGAAAAAUCAAACUCAUGGAGACUCACCUAAUAGUGUUUUAAAUCUUAUAAUUUUCCUAAACCCUUUCGACGUAAGAUUGUAAUAUUUUAAUAUUUUGCCAAAACGAAAACAAUAUCAUUAGUUUCUAAAGGUUGAGACCCUCAUUUUCAUAAGAAAGCCGUAGUGGUGUAAAAAAAAAAACAAAGAUUAAGAUCUUGUUUAAACUAUAGGUAACAUUUUUGGUUAAAUGAAAUGGAGUGGAAGGUAUUUUGUUGACCAAAAUAUUGAUUACACAUCAUGUGAGUACAAAUUGGGUAGGACCCUCUUUUUUAUCAUUUCUUUUCUUUUUAAAGUACAUUAAUAGAUUAGUGGAAGAUACUAAUUUGGUAAACAUUUGAAGUAUAUGAUUUCAGAUUUUGGAAGCCAUAUAAUUUGCAUUAAACAUGAGAUUUUGAAUAUCUAUCCAAUGAAUUAAACUUAUUGGUAUUAAAAGCAAAUGAAGUGAAGAAGGAUUGUAUAUAUAAUAAAUAUAAAAUAAGUUGCAUCAUAAUGAUUCAUUCCCAAAAUCUAAAUAGAAAAAUGGGGAAAUUAUAGUUGAGAAAAUCCAAAAGACAGAACCUGGAUAGUGAAAUAAUAUACCAAUAAAGCAUGUUGUCCCAUGAUACAUACAUUACAACAUUACAACAUUACAACAUUACACCAUCACCCUCUCUCUCUGUUUUUCUGCACCACUUACUUACUUCCUUACUUCCUUACUUACUGCUUUUUCUUCCCUUUUCCUUUUUCUUUUUUCCAAAUAACCAAACCCCAAUACCCAAUUUCAUCUUCUUUCAUUCACUCUCCCUCUCCAUUUCUCGUGACUACUAACUCUCUCUCUCUCUCUCUCUCUCUCUCUCAGACCCACAAAUCUGUUUUUCCCUUCACAACACUACACUUUCACUCAAAUGGGGGAAACCCCUCUUACCAUUUCUCUCUACUAAUCUCCUUUUCUUCUCCUUUUUCGUCUGCGAUUCAAUGUUUCCUCCUUCAUUGCUACUUCAGGUUUUCUUUUAGUGCUCUUUUUCUUCUUUCUUCUUUGUUUGCCUUUCUGGGUUUUACCACUUUUUCCUUCAUUUCUUUCAGUUUUUUUUCUUUUUUUUUCUUUUUUUUUCUUUUUUUUUUGCUUUCGCCUCUUCUGACAUUUUAAGGGGUUUUUAUGUUUUCUUGUCUGGAAUGUUCUUGGGACUACUCUGCUUCCCCCUUUCAUGGGUUUUGUUAGAAAUUCCUCUGCUUAUUUAAGUGGUUAGUUAAUGUGGUGUGAAACUGGGAGGUUUUGUUGCUUGGGCUUUGCUUUCAUUUGGUCUACAAUGGGUUUUUGCCAUGAAAUGUGUUUUUCAUAGAGGAAGAUCUGGUCUGGCUGCUUCAAAAUCAAAAGGGUUUUCUGUUUUUGUGAAAUAUUUCCAUCUUUAUGGCCUUUUUGUGUUUUUGUUCUCUCUCCAUUUUCCUUGUUGUUGGGCUUCUUUCAAAUUCCCAGUUCUUGGGAGCUCAGCUUGAUGAUCAAAUCACUAUGUCCACCAUUAGAGAAGAGCUUCAAGUUCCUGGGUGGAGCUCUAGCAUCUCUGAGUACUGCUCUUGGAAAGGUGUUCAUUGUGGUUUGAAUCACUCCAUGGUUGAAACUCUUGAUCUUUCUGGUCGUUCUCUUAGAGCUAAUUUAACUAUGAUUUCUGAGCUCAAAGCUUUGAAGUGGCUUGACCUAUCCUACAAUGACUUCCACGGCGAGAUUCCGUUGAGUUUUGCAAAGUUACCGGAGCUCGAAUUCCUUGAUUUGUCUUCGAACAAGUUUGAUGGUUCGAUUCCGCCUCAGUUUGGUGAUCUCAAGAACCUCAAAUCAUUGAACCUCUCCAAUAAUUUGUUGGUGGGAGAAAUUCCAGAUGAACUUCAAGGCUUAGAGAAGUUGCAAGAUUUUCAAAUUUCUAGCAACAGGUUAAAUGGUUCAAUUCCAAGUUGGGUUGGAAAUUUGAGUCAUCUAAGACUCUUUACAGCCUAUGAGAAUAACUUUGAUGGUAUGAUUCCGGAUAAUCUUGGUUCAGUUUCUGCGCUCCAAGUAUUGAAUCUGCAUACGAACAGGCUUGAAGGCUCGAUUCCUAGAAGCAUUUUCGCUUCGGGGAAGCUUGAGAUUUUGGUUCUUACACAAAACAGAUUGACUGGCAAUCUUCCUGAAGAGAUUGGGAACUGCCAAAGGCUUACUAGCGUUCGAAUCGGUAACAAUAAUCUUGUUGGUGUAAUUCCUCCGGCCAUUGGAAAUGUUACUAGCCUUGCUUACUUUGAAGUGGAUAACAAUCACCUUUCAGGCGAUAUAGCGUCUCAGUUUUCGAGGUGCUCUAAUCUUACCCUGCUGAAUCUAGCCUCGAACGGAUUCACUGGGAUGAUUCCUCCUGAACUUGGAGAGCUCAUGAAUCUGCAGGAGCUUAUUCUUUCUGGUAAUAGUCUGUAUGGUGACAUUCCGGGAUCAAUGCUCGAAUGCAAGAAUCUCAACAAGCUUGAUUUAAGCAGCAAUAGAUUUAAUGGUACUAUUCCCUCAGAUAUAUGCAAUAUAUCAAGAUUGCAGUACUUACUUUUGGAACAGAAUUCAAUCAAAGGAGAGAUACCUAAUGAGAUUGGAAAAUGUACAAAGCUUCUUGACCUGCGACUUGGUAGUAACUAUCUAACUGGAAGCAUCCCUUCUGAGAUUGGUCGUAUUAAGAACUUACAGAUAGCUUUGAACUUGAGCUUCAAUCAUCUAAAUGGACCAGUGCCUCCUGAGUUGGGAAGACUUGAUAAACUGGUUACUUUAGAUUUAUCAAACAAUCAUCUCUCGGGCGAUAUCCCUUCUGAGCUCAAGGGCAUGUUAAGCUUGAUAGAGGUGAAUUUUUCAAAUAAUCUGCUUACAGGUUCAAUUCCUUUCUUUGUUCCAUUCCAGAAAAGUGCAAAUUCUAGUUUUCUGGGGAACGAAGGCCUUUGCGGGGCGCCACUCAGCAUUACGUGUAAGAAUUCAAUUGGUCCAUACAAUCAAGAUUACCAUCACAAGGUCUCAUACAAGAUCAUACUGGCUGUCAUCGGUUCCGGUCUGGCAGUUUUUGUAUCGGUUACUAUAGUUGUCCUACUUUUUGUGAUGAAGGAAAAGCAGGAAAAAGCAGCAAAAUCUUCAGGGACCGCAGAUGAUGAAACUAUCAAUGACCAACCACCGAUAAUAGCAGGAAAUGUCUUCGACGAUAAUCUCCAACAGGAAAUCGAUCUCGACGCAGUCGUUAAAGCAACUUUGAAGGAUUCAAACAAGCUCAUCUUUGGGACUUUUAGUACUGUUUAUAAGGCGAUCAUGCCUUCGGGUAUGAUCAUAUCAGUUAAGAGAUUAAAAUCCAUGGACAAAACUAUUAUUCAUCAUCAAAGCAAGAUGAUUAGAGAACUUGAAAGGCUUGGCAAAUUGAACCAUGCUAAUCUUUUGCAACUCAUUGGAUAUGUAAUAUAUGAGGAUGUGGCUCUGUUGCUUCACAAUUACUUAACCAAUGGAACAUUGGCUCAGCUUCUUCAUGAAUCCACAAAACAACCUGAAUAUGAUCCUGAUUGGCCCACGAGAUUUUCCAUUGCCAUUGGAGCAGCAGAAGGGCUUGCUUUUCUUCAUCAUGUGGCCAUAAUCCAUCUUGAUAUUUCAUCAUCUAAUGUUUUUUUAGAUGCCAACUUCAAACCUUUGGUUGGAGAAGUUGAGAUCUCAAAACUUUUAGAUCCAUCAAGAGGAACUGCAAGUAUUAGUGCUGUUGCAGGUUCAUUUGGCUACAUUCCACCAGGUACUUGCUUGAAUCUCCAUAGUUUCUCUUAUGAGUUUAUGAUUUUUUUCUCUCCUUAUUAUUUUGAAUUCUAACUGUUUGCUUUCGGCUCAGAAUAUGCUUAUACAAUGCAAGUUACAGCCCCGGGAAACGUCUAUAGCUACGGUGUCAUCUUGCUUGAGAUCCUCACUACCAGACUGCCAGUUGAUGAGGAGUUUGGUGAAGGAGUAGACUUGGUGAAAUGGGUGCAUACUGCUCCAUCGAGGGGUGAAACACCUGAACAGAUACUCGAUUCCCGGCUGAGCACGGUGUCGUUCGGAUGGAGGAAGGAGAUGCUUGCGGCUCUCAAGAUUGCAUUGCUCUGCACUGACAGCAUACCAGCCAAAAGGCCAAAAAUGAAGAAGGUGGUGGAAAUGCUUUCGGAGAUUAAGCAAAAUUGAUCGGCUCUGCAACUUGCCCGAGUUUUCCAUGUGGAUUUUUUUUGAGGAAACGCCAUGCUAGAUGGGAAAAAACGAUUGAGAUGGAGAUUGAAUUUGAGUAAUUCACUAAAGCAAUUGUUUUAGUGAAGGUGGAAAUGAGUGUCCAUACAUAGUUGUAUAGUCGGGUGGUUGUUUUCUGAUAUCAUCAACCAACCAGAUUUGUGACAAAAGAAAGUAUAUUUACAUAAUGGUUGAUGUGUAAUCUCUUCUUUGAGUUUGAAUACGAAUGUGAGUUGCUCUAAUGAGAUUUUAGAGACUUACAUGUGCAGUGAAGUAAGGUUGAAAAGGAAUGUAGAUCAUAUAAUUCUUUAUAAUUUUCUUUGAGUAGAAGAUGAAAGAAAAAAAAUACAACGAACAUACAAAAGACCAAAUGACCAAAUGAGCAACUCUAAAGAAAGAAACUCCAAAUAAAAUACAACGAGACUCCCUCUCAUCUAUUCCUACAGAUAAUUUACUUUUACUAAACUAAGCUUUAAAUCUUUAACACUAUCGAUUUUUAAAAGUUAUCCAAAGAUGGUUGUUUUGAUAAGUCAACAAUCGAACAAUCUUUUUAAAAGAAAAAUAUACACAAAAAUAGAAUUUUGUUUUCCAACUUGAUACUUACGUAAAGAGGAAGUAAUGAUAAAUAAGUUAAAGGUCAUUUUUAUUGUUUUUGAAAUCACCCUAAAAUAAGUUUUUAAUCAUUGAAAACAACCAAAUUUUUUAUUAUUUGAAAAUUAAGCUUGAAAAGUAUAAAAUUUAAAUUGAUUUUGAAGUGUAUUUUAGAAUUAUUAAAAAUAUAACACACAUGGAAUCAUCAGAAAAAGAAACCAGAAUGAUUACAUAUUAUUUUCUGUCUAAAUCUAAAAUUUCAAACUUAAAAGAGAUUUAUUAAAAAUUGAGGUUAAGAAAACCCAAUUGAGAGGUAAGGAACUAAUAAACAAAAAAGAUAAAAACGAAAUGAGUUGAAUUUACAAAUGAGUCUAAAAUAUGCUCAAAUCAAAUAUGAACUUUAGAUUACAUUUCACUACAAAGUCAUUCCGUAGGGAGCCAAACAAACCCUUAAUUUCUGUUAAGAAUAAACAAGCCUGUGGAAGAAAGUUGAUCCCCAUGUGAGAGUUUCCAAGCAAAUUGGGUGUUGAGCAAAAGGACAUUAGCGAACCAAAGGAGCAGCAAUUCUAAAGGAAACAAGUUUUAUUAGUGAUUGUCCAGUUACAAAGAAUUGGACCAGACAUUCAAAUCUCAUAAAUCAAAGUAAAAAUAAGAACAAUGAUCAUUCUACAUUGUCUAAAAGAGACACGAGAGGAAGUUUCUUUUUUCACUGAUUUAUUUAGAAUCAACGUCCUGACACCAUCAACAUAAGAAGCCAAUGAUGCAACUUAAACAGGAAAUAAGAAUGUGCCUAUCACAACAAACAAACAAGAAAUCAUUAAGUUUCUCCGCUCAAAAUAUAAAGCAGAUUAGAACUGCUUAAUGACUAGGAAGUAUUUCCAAAAACAGAACCGAAUGUAAAAGUUGACAACCCAAGUAACAUUUAAGAUUCAGGGCGGGUUUUGACGAUGAAAUUUUGGCGACUGAUGGGGUUCAUGACUACAGGUGGACCGGCUGUACGAGGCCAUGCUUGGAAUUUUUUGUCAGUUUCUUCCAACCACUCGCUGUUUGAAACAGUACUUGGAGUUGUUCCUGAACAAGAAAGAAAUCCAUUGAAAAGAAAGAGACAUUAAGAAAUUAGAGAAAUGGAGGUACAACAAAGAAAUGGCAAAGCCAAGCAACGGUAGCAGAUCAAAGAAACUGUGAGACCAGGCCGAUAGUUACCUCCAAAUAUUUUCUUGUCAGAAAUAAGAUGGUCACAAAUAUAUGCAACUCCACAUGCUCCAAGUAAAGAACCUACUAUGUAUUUGGCUGCCAUCUUCUAACUGCAAUGAACUAAUAUGUUCCCAAAUCAAUUGAACCAUACUACACAUAAAAUUACGUCAAACUGCACCCAUACUAAACCAAUGUGGACUUGAACACAGACAGACACAUGCACAAAGACGACGAGGACCACAAACACAAACUACAACAGAAAAGUAGGACACAAACAAGUUGAAGAUAUGAAUUUUUAAAUAUAUAUAUGCAUCUAUUGACAUCUAAUACUCUUAAAAGUACAUGAGCAUGUAAAUUUAACAUUGUUAUAUGCACCCGUGGGGAAGAAAUAAGCGGCAGUGUGUGGUUUCUAUUUAUCUUUCAUACAGGUUUUCAGGACCAGGUGAAGUUUCAAACACAGCAACAGGUUCAGCAAUAAGAAUUGUAAAAGGUUCAAAUUACACCUUUUUUUUUUAAAUUUCGAGUUGAAGUGUUUGUGUGUCCUGCAAAAAGUCUGGAUAUAUCAGGGAAUUUAUCUGGUUAAUGUUAGUAAACUAAUAGGCAAUGAUAUCCUUUCACAAAAAAAAUCAGACAAUGAUGUAUUUAAUUUGGAUAUAGAAGAAUAAAGACUAAACUUGUAAUUUAACAAAUUCUCAAAUGUAAUUUAACAUAUAUAAAUGAAUAGGGGUGGAACUACAAAAUUUUCCCUAUCAUCUGAUAUGGCUCAAUAAGAUAUAGCUCAAACCAUUAAUAUAUGUUCCUUUCGCUUCCUGAACUAUUAUAUUUAUAACUAACAAAAAUGUUUGUGAGGACCAUGGCUGUUGGAAUGAUUCCUGCCAAGUCUUGCAAUGUGGAAAGCUGCAUGAUGCCAACAUGUUUGCAAAGACAACUUCCAUGAAUCAGAUGAACUUCUAGUAUUUUCUAAUUCACAACUUGUCGUUCUUCUUGUAUCUCGAAUCAACCUUUUCCUGUGGCCUUUUUCCUGGUUUCUUCCUUCUGUCCGAGCAGAUACUCGCCAUUAUCUCAUCAAUUGACAAAAUUUUCUCAAGAUUGCUAUCUAACAAGUUGCACGCAUUUAAGGCAGAUUGGGACAGAUCCGAAACAUCCGAUGUCCUAAGUUCUCCUUUAAGAUGUUCCAUCAAAACAAACCCAAUAGCCCGUUGCAUCUUCAAAUCAAAUUUCUCAGCUAAAUUUUCAUGACCAACUGCUUUUGCACGUUGGAGAACUAGCAUUUUAAUGCUAAUCAGCAGGUCAAGUUCUGAUUCAGAUAGUGAACAAAGCCAACUGAUACCUUCAAUUCUUUUAUUCUUCAAAAUUUCAUUCGCCUCUUCCAUAGAAAUCUUCCGCAAUAUCACUCCAGAAAAAACACCGGCGGCAGUGGUGCAACGGCUAAUGAGGGAGCCACAGUGGUGAAUUGUACGGGAGGGAGAGGAGCGGCAGCACUCUUGGUUUGUCUUUACAGCCUACAAAAAUCGUUAUCCAGAAGCUGAAUUUGUCUCCUAAUCCGAAGACUCACCGACGGCAAAGCCCCUACAAGUCCGUCCCUGUUUAGGGUUUCAGGAUUUGCAGCCCUAAUAGAGUUGGAAAGAAGAAGGAGAAGAUGAAAUAAUUUCAAAAAUACCCUCCGCAUUCUAAAAUUUAGGAUUAAACAAUUUGGUUAAUUUGGAUAUAUAUUGCUAAAAGUUUGGAAAGAGCUGCCUUUUCUCGCAAAUCCUUACUAGCCAUCUCAGACAAACCAUGAGAACUCCUAUAGGCCAUCUUGGAGAACGAAAUUCCCAAAAGGUUCAAAUAAGCAGCAGUUUACGGUCAUGCACUUUGGAUAAGUAGUUGGAAACUCUAGGGUUGCUUGAUUUCCCACUACUCUUAUAAAAUCCAAGUGUUGAGAAAAGUGUUAUCAAAUUCUUUGGUUCACUACUUUGCUAGGCUGCUGGGAUAGCUGUAUGGAGUAGCUCUAAAUAGCUUUUCCUUCAAAGAAAAGCAAAGAUUUAAUGGCGAAGUGUUGAAUGCUAAUAAGGAAAUUCCGAGAAGCUAAAUUACGGCUUCUACUUGGUGUGCACCAUCAAAACCAAUUGGUAAACUUGAAGUCAUUAUGCAAGAUCCUAUUAGCUCUAAGGCUUUAGGAUUUUCCCCAUUUCAUAGUUCUCAUAUCUUCUUGGUGUGUUGCUUUUAUUCAUAUACUUUACCGAAGUUGAUCAAGUUCAUAGUUUACAAUAUCAUGACUUAAGGUUUCUUCUUCAUUCUACAAGCAGUCUAGACAUUUUAAAUCAGUUGGAUGCAGGCAAAAUCCUAGCCGCAUAAUGCUUUGCAAUCCUUUCCAAAGCUUUCUAAGUAACUACUUCCGAGUCCAAAGUUCGAAUUCCCUCUUUUCAUCAAUAAUUUCACACUGAAUUAGCACCAACUUCCAAAUAUUCGAGCUCAUAUGCAUGAUAAAACCUUAUAUAGCUCAAAAUAUCUUUCUCAUAACCCGCAACAAGAAGCAGUACGCUUCAAGUUUAUAAUUCAAAACAUUACUGAUUAAAAAUCUCUCAAUCAAAUUCCAACAUUGAUAACAGUAAUAAGCUCUCCGUAGAAAGCAUAAAUACAAAAGCCAGAAAACAAGAAUCGAAAAUCAUUACAUCUACAUGUAAUAACCAAACAAUAAUAAAAAAAUAAAAUACUCAGGAACUCAUAUUGAUAACAGAUCACAAAAGGGAAAAGAAGAACAUAUAGCAAUUCUUAAUCUCCUUGCACUGCACAGAAUCGUGGUAAAAACAGAUUAAAAUGCAAACUACAGAGAUUAGAGGGAAAAAAGCGGCGGAUAACGAUUUUGCAGAGUAGGGUUUUGAUUUAAUAAAUUUAUAUCUUUCGAUUUAAACUAGAGUCAAUACAAUUUUAAUAAAUUUGUUUUAAAAGAAUCAACACAGCUACCAACAUAGGAUAAAGAACAAAAACAGCCACCAAAGAAUUGACAAUUUUACAUACCUCACAGAAUCACACGCAAGAAAUCGAUUUCUGAAAUGUGAGAAAGUAGAGAUCUGAAAUUUAAAUAAAAAUAAAAAUAAAUGUCAAAUGUAUAGAUGUAGGGAGAACCAAACGAGAGACGAGAGGAAAGGGCUGUGAGUGCGAGCGGCUAACUUAAGACAAAAAUGGGAAAAAAAAAAAAAAAAAAAAACCUAAAAUCUAAAAGGCUAUAUGACUAAACACACACAAGUGGCAUCACAAUAACAAAACCAUGAAUGAGAUUCCAGCGAUUCUACCAGACGUCAAAAGCUAAUAAACAUGAGAUUCCAUUUGAAUCGAAAGAUAGAAACAACCAACAGCUAAAAAAUCAAAGAUAGAGAGACAUACCGAUGUAAUUAGAGGUGAAGCGAUGAAGUUUAUGGAGAAAUUGGCAAAAAGGAAAGAUCUGGAGCCCUAAAUGAGGUGAGAGAGAUGAGACUGAUUCACGAAUGAAGAAAGAGUGGAAAUUGCCAAAAACUAGUUUUCUUUAGGGGAUGUGAAAAGUCCAAAUUGCCUUUUCAUUUUUCUAUAUAUAUAUAUAAAAAUAAAAAAUACCCUAAAAAUGCCUAUGGGUAAUUGUAAAAAAUAUAUAUACACACACUUACCGGCCCUUCACUCGAAAUAAAGAAUAUCCCUAGCAGGAUGGUAAUUUCACACAGGUGUUGCUGGUCGUCAGCUGGUGUGGUGAGAUGUUUGGUCAAGUCCUAUAACGAGCGAAACUUUAGUUUUGUGUUGCUCAGAUAUGCGUCUAUAGAGAAAUGCAACCAAAAUUCGUCGAGGUAUAUUUGAAAAAUGGACAAAAAUGACCCCUCCAACUUUAUUUUUCUCCAUUAGAUUACACUUUAUCACAAACUCUUUCCUUUUUAUCCCUUGAUUACGAGAGUGAUGUAAGCAAACAAAACUAUGUAUACUUAAAAUUGUGGUUACAUCCACAAUUACUAACCAAUUAACUAAAUUUUCCCUCUUAAUAUUAAUUUUUACUCAAUUUUGUAUGUUUAAUUAUUUUUCUACCCUUUCUCACUUAUUAUUAUAACAAAGAAUCAACCCGUUGUUUGGAUUUUAAGAUUGGAGUGUCCUAUCAAGCUUGGGGCUCCAACUAGGGGUGUACAAAUAUGGGUCGAACCUGAAUAACCCGAACUACCCAACUCAUAUUAUAAGAGUUUGGUUGGGUUAAGUUAAAAUAUGGGUUGGAUUGGGUUAGGUUAAAAAAAUUUGAUUUUUUCGGGUUGGGUUGGGUCGGGUCUUGGGUUGGAGGGUUAAAAAUUUUGGUUCAACCCAACCCAACUCAAAUUAAUAUAAUAUAUAAAUAAAUAUUAUUUUAAUAAAAAACAAAUUAAAGAUAAAAUUUGAAUGAUGUAUGUUUGAAAUUUGUUUGAAAUUUAAAUGUAAUGAUUUCAAACUUUUAUAGUCUUAGAAACUAGAAGAUGGAAAAAAAAAUUAAAAAUUAUAUACACAAUCCAACGACUAACUCAAUCCAAAUAACCCGAAAAUAUGGAUUGGGUUGAAAAUGUCUCUCAACUCAACCCAACCCAACUUGAUUUCACUCGUGCGAAAAAGAUUUCAAGCUAUAACUUAGUAGAUAAUCAUAUUUCACAAAUGUGGUAAUGUUGAAGAUAUAUUUCACUACUAAAUUUCUUUAAUUUUAAGACAAAAUAUAAAGUUUCUAAAUUCUUAUCAUUUAAUUAUUAUCAAUGCAACUAAUAUGAUAUGUAUUGUAAUUAAUUUUUGUGCGCGAUUCCUUUUGUAUUUUUCAACUAAGGCAUUUCUCUUUUUUUACAUAUACAUUUCUGACGAUACAUUCAAUUCAGUUUUGCAUCAUGAUAUGCAAUGGGUAUUUUCGUAUAUAGUAUGAUUUUUUUAUUCAUUUUAUUAAAUAAAAAAAUAAGGAUAAAAAAAUAAUGUUAUACCAUAUCUAACUUUGUACUUGGUUAAAUAUUAAGAUGAAUUCUAUUUGGUUUUUGGUUUAUUUAAUUUGUAGAAUUAUGUCAAUUACCAGUAUAUGAAACUCUGCAAAACAAUCUAUCUAUGAAACUUUUGAAAUUUUAUGGAUAUUUUUCACCAAAUACGAAGUUAGAAACAACUUUUAUAAUUUAACCCAUUUUUCAAUUAAAGUUUGAACUCAAGAAAAUUGAUCGUACAUUUUCACUAGCUCUAAAAUAACAUUUUUAUAACCUAAAAAUAUUUUAGUUUGAAUUAAAAUUAAAAAUAAGAAAGACAAUCAAAUCUUCAAAUCAAAAUAACAAAUGCUCAUGCACAACUUUUUGUUUAAUUAAACUUUCAUAAUUAAGUUGUUUUUUAAAACUUUACAUAUCAAACUAGUUUUAUGCUGACCUUCUAAACCUAUUUUUAGAAACUGAAGCAUCAGAGCAUUUUGAAAACUAAGGACCAAACAAAUCAUUUCUUAUAAACCUAAAAUCCAAAAAGAAAAAAGAAAAGCACAUUUAUAAAAUUACAUAACCAAAAACACACAUAUUCAACAUUUUAAAAGAAAAGAAAAACCUUUUUCACAGAAACUCUUUAUCAGAACAAAAAUAGUUUGACAAUCCAAAUAAACUAUCCGUCCGGUUCAAACAUUCUAUCUUAGAAUCGAAGUUACGAAACAAAAUAACAGUAUCCAAAAUCAGAUUUUUCAUAAGAGGGAAAAUUGAUAACAGCCAUCAUUCUAUUCUUAAGAGUGCAUGUUGAGAAGGAUAAUUACUAUCAUCAACGCAACCUCCUGGCUUCUCUCUCAGACUCCAGAAGGGUAAGAAUGUCACCUUCCCUCACAGGUCCCUUGACAUUCCUCAUGAUGUAACGAUUCUGAUCGUCAAGAAACUUGACUCUCACUUGAGUCACCUGCCCUCUUGAUCCAGUUCGCCCCAUAACUUUUACCACCACAGCGUGUUUGAUCUGGGAUUCCAUUUCUUAAAUGAAUUGGAGAAAAACCUGGAAAUUAAAGACAUGAUUAACGACGAAAGCAGGGUAAAGAAGUCCUUUCAGCAUCUACCACAGAUCAGGCUUAAAAAAAGUAGGUGAAGAGAACUCCCAACAAAAACACAGAUAAUCAUUCAAUUCAUCUUUUCGAAAAGAUAAAACAACUGGAGGAAAAACAAAAAAAGAGAAAAACAUUUGUCCAAGUUCAAAUGUGUGACAGGAGAAUAGUUCUGAACCAGAAAGCUAAAACAGUAAUCUUCAGACCAACUUCUAGAGAUUACAUUGUCAGAUAAUUAGUAGCAAAAUUCAUAUGCUGUCGUCAGAUUACAUUUUUCUUUGAAACGGAAACAAGACAUUUGCAUUAGAAGAAUGAAAUGAGUCUAAUGCUUAAAGUAUAAGAAGUAAAAUGUUGCCAAAUUAGAUUAAACUUCAAUGGAAAAGUAAAUCAUCAUUGCCUAGUAGUUCCUCUUAAACUUCAAUCAGAUAUUAAUUAGCCAUUGGAAGCCAACCAUGAAGACUCCUAUAGGUUAUCUUGGAGUAAAACACUCCAAAAAGAUUCAAACAUGGAACGUCAUGGGAAGCGUAGUUACUACAGACAUGGAAAAUAAACAGACCCAACUGGUGUGCAAUUUGGGCAAGUAGUUGGAGAAACAAGGCUACUCUUAUGAAAUCCAAGUGUUGAGAAAAGCACUCUCAAAUUCUUUAGUUUAUUACCUGCUUGGCUGCUGCCCGGCUGUAUGGAGUAGGUAAUAGAUAUUAGGUACUUGUCAUUGAAAGAAAGAGAAACAAAGAUUUAAUGACAGAGUUGAAUGGCAAUAAUAAGGCAAUUCUGAACAAUCUACUAUUGCUUCCUAUAUUUGGUUUGGCAAUCACUAUUCUCAUAGCUUGUUAGAAAACGACUAAUGCCUUUUCACAUAAUUUAUCAAAUCCAUAGUUUACAAUAGAGCAAACAAUGUAGAGAUAUUUUUAAAACGAUCUGAUGCAGCCAAAAUCCUUCAUCUUCUUUGCUUCAAUAAUUUCAGACUGAAUUUAUCCCCAAUGUCCAAAUAUUCGAGUAUCAUCAAUAUUCACGAAAAAAAUCCUAACAUAGACUCAAAAUCUAUCUCUCUCGUUCGCUCACAACUCGCAAGAACAAGCAAUCCGCUUCAUGUUUAAGAUACAAAACCCUAUCAAACUCAAAACAAAUUUUAAAUUUCCGUCAAAUUCCAACAUUAGAUAACGGCAAAAAUCUCUCCGUAGAAAGUAAAGACAAAUACAGAAGCAAGAAAACGAGAAUCAGCAAUCACUACACAAUAGUCGAACGUAUAAUAGAUGGGAACUCAUAUUGAUAAAAACUGUAGAUGAAAAAGUGCAACAAAAAAAACAUGUAGCAAUUCUUAAUCUUGUGGGAAAAAAAAAGCAGAUUAAAGUAAAAACAAAAGAGAUUUAAGGGAAGGAACCGGCGGCGAAGGGUUUAGCAGAGUUUGGACUCGAAAUCUCACCGAUGGAGUGUAUGCAGCGGCGGCCUAGGCUUGAUUUUGUGGUUUUUUACUCUAAGCUUUUAGGGCUUUUUCCUUUUUGUUUUUUGGCGUGCGAGAUCUGGCAAAUGCCUAUUUUAUUUUAACGAGAAUUUCCAUUUACACCCUCUAACUUUGUGCAUAUCUAUUCUUUUAAAUCUUAAACUUCAUCCCUCUAAAUUCUAAAAUAAUAAUCAAUUUAAAUCCUACAAAUUAAUUCAAUUUAAACCUUUCAAUAUAUUUUAUUUAGAUACACUUCUAAGAAUUUAGACACAAAUUGAUAAAUAUCAAUUGGUACAUGUAAAUUAAUAUUUAUCUUUUUUUAUUAUAUUAUUAUUAUUAUCUCUAUAUCAAUAUAUUUGGUUAAGGGUAGAAACAUUUGUUUCCCUCAUUUCUCUUGAUUUGCUUUAGGGUUAUACAACAUAAAUUUACAUUUAAAUUAUUAAAAGAUCAUAUUUAUCUCUAACAAAUUCAAAUUAAACUUUAAAAAUAAAUAAAUAUAUAUAAUAUAAUUUGUAAAUUUUUUUAAUAAUGUUAUCUUUUAAAAAAAAAGUUUUAACUAAGGCCUAAAAUGUUAUACCAUACUACAAGAUUGAUCCAAAUUUCUCAAAAUUUUUAGAAAUGUUCAAAAUGGACUAAUAUUUUACGCAAAUAUAUGGUCCAAAUGACCAAUUUACUCAUCUUUAUUGUUCAUAAUGUACUAAUAAAUAAAAAAAAUAAAAAAUGAAAAGUGGACCAUGAUUAAAACUUGCAUUUAUUAAAUAUUAUAUGAAAAUAUGAUAAGUAAUUAAUUCUAUUAGGGUAAUAUUAUAAUCAAAAUUAUACCUUAAUUUUUUUUGGUGGUUUCGUAAAAAAAAAAAAAAAAAAUUCCCUCUCAUUCUCUCUCUCCGUUAAUUUUUUUUUUAUUUUGCAUUGUUUUUCAUAUAUUAUACCUAAUUAUAUUAUAUAUAUUUAAUUAUACGGUGUAUAUUUUAUGAAUGAAAGGUUCUAUAUCAAUUUGUUUAUGUAUUUUAUUUAAAAUAUUCAUAUCUUACGUAGUAUAUAAUAUGUUAUGUUUGAAACAAUAGUAAUUAUGCAUAAAAAUUGUUUAUGUCUAUAAGAACAUGGAUGAGAAAAAAUUAUGAUGAAUAUAUGUAAUAUAUGCCAUUAAAACAUUAGUUGAUAUUUGAUAUAGGUAAUGUUAGAAAAAGCUGAAUAUGUUUGCGAUACAGACUUUGAUGAAAGAUUGAAGAUCCAAGCAAUUGUAUGAAAAAACGUUUGAAUGAGGAGGAUAUGUUAAAUUACAAUAUUGUAUUAUUGAUUUCGUGAAAGGAUCCACUUUAGCUAUAGUUACAUAAUAGUGUAAACAAUAACAAACAUAAUCAAAUGAAAUCCCUAUUUUAAGUUAUCAUCCGAAUGAUGUAAAUGUAGCUUAAAAUUAGACCAUAAAUUCAUCAAUUAUUUAUUGUUGUACUGGUCAUAAUAUUCCUAUCAUAUCAAAGUGGUAGAAUUGAAAAAAGGGACAUGAGAAAAUAAAAAGAAAAUGCAUGAGGUUGAGUUUGAGUUUGAGUUUGAUCCCAAGUGGGGAGAUAGAGAAAAAGACAUCUAACGCCACCCCUCUUCCAAUUUGGCGUAAAUUUGCUAAUUAUUUACAUUUUGUCUAUGUAAAACAAGACCCCACCCUUACCAUUUUAACACCAUUUAUUUUCCGUUAGCUGCAUUCUGUGGCAGAAUGUUCAACGAAUUUACCAUUUUCUGCUAAAUAGGUUUAAAGGAGGGUAUCCUUUUACCUAAAUUCUUUUCAAAACUAUUCUAAUCACACAUCUCGAUUUCUGUAAUGGUAGAAACAAACACGGAUUUCACCCCUUCUUCAAAUACUGCUAAUCAUUGAUACAAACUAUUACAAUCAAAUCAAAUACUAUGAUAUUGACCCUUGUAAUCUGACCAUAGAUGCCACUCUCUUAGGCACAAGUUAUACCAUCUACCGUUGCAUUCCAAAUUUUAAAUAAAUUCAGUCAAAACUCUAUUGGUACUGCAGGAAAUGACAAUCAAAUAUGAUUUAUACAAAUUAUCCAAAUGAUUACACAAAAUGACUCAACAAAACAACAAAGCUAACUAAUGACAGAGAAGGGAAAAAGUUAAGCCUUCCUUCACGAAACUGAUAAUGAAUUCAAUUCUUCAAAUAUUCUACAAUGAACUUCUUCUCACCUCUCUUCAUACCAAAAUUAAUCAACAUUACAAGUUUUUAACAUAAAGGGGAAAAAAAACGAAGUUUACAAAUGGCAGUCACAAUGAUCUAUACUAUCAUGGGAUAGUAGUUUGAUGAAACAAUUAAAUUUGUGAUUGAGUCGGUGUUCAUACCUCAUAAUAUAUAAACUGAUAUGUACACUCAAGCUCUCGAAGUGCCACCAUGAUCCCUCUCAAUAUGUUCCACAAGGGCAACAGGGUCAACAAAUCCUCUACUACACUUUGGACAAGCAUCGAUCACAACCUUCUUCGGCCCAGUUCGAUUUCCACCCCUUUCAUGAACUUUUUCAACAUGGUCUAUUAAUGACGAAACUGAUGAAAACUUAGCACUGCAUUGUGGACAUUGCUCAAUUUGUCCAUUUCCACCUCCCCCAUUGCUGCUGCUACCUGAUGAUAUCCAAGUUUGACUGAAUUCAUUUGACAACUUCGUCAUGCUUGCUUCGGCUGAGGCUUUAACAGAUGAGGCUGCAUUAAGGAACGCAGUCCACUUAGAGGAGGAUGUGGUGGACAAUGCUUUCUUAGGCCCUUUCUCUUCUUUUCUACUUCUGUUUAAUAGACCAACAAAUGGAAAACCUGUUGGUUCGAGUUUUUUUGGUCCAGGACAUUUAUGGUCAGGUCCAAACCGAUGCUUCAAACAAUGGUCUAAUGAGCAGUCCCGACAUUUGAUUGUGUUUGAAAACGUUAGCAACUCCCUGCAGCCAGGUACAGGGCAUUUUUUCUUCUUUGUGACUUUAUCAUAAUUCGAUGGGUCACAUUCAGUGUUUACAUGUAUCUCCCAAGUAAUGUUUGGAUCUUGAUCUGGAAUGAGACGAACUCCUUUGGCACACAGCGGACAAAUGACAACGGUGACAUCCCAUCUAUCUGCUUUUGGACAACUAUGCCUAUUGUAGCUACGAUGCUCCAAACAGAAGACCUGUCAAAUUUUUAAAUUAAUAAACUAAAUCAAACCAAUGAACGGUACCGAGGAAACCUUGAAUAAUGGACAUCUUUUCAAUUGAAAUGAAAUGUCACAUUCUGUUUAUUCUCAGAAAAAAAUUCUUUUAUUAUGAACUGUUUUGACACAUAUGGUAUCCAUGGUUCAUUUGGAGCAGUAAAAUGAUAUCAAUUGAAGGUUUAAACAUUUAACAGAACUUAUAGAAGCCUAAAUUUUAGGCUGAAAUGGAACCGUUGGAAAAGAGAUUCUUACAAUUAGCAUUGAUGAAUUUCAACAGGUAAAAUGGAUAAACUAAGUAACACAUUCCUGACUCCUUGAAAUCCUGAUCAUAAGCUGAUCAGUCAAUAACUAUUGCUUUCAAAUCAUUAUCAGAGACAUCUUCAUGAAAAUCGAUAGAUGAAAACUUAUCAAUCAAUAAUAAUCAGAAAACCGCCCUCAAAAUAGUAGACGAAAACCUUAAACCCAAAAUAGCAUCCCCAACAUCAUAUGUGUCAAAAUAAGAGACCAAAACACAAAACCUGAAUCGAAGUUCUAAGGCCCUUUUAAUAACUUUUUCUUUGCAUGGUUUCCACCUUUCUCAAAGAAACAUGAAUUUCCAAGACUUGGCUUGGUAUAAGAAAACAUAAGUAGAAACUGGACAACGCAAUACAUAAAUUUAGAGGUAAAAGUAGGGUUUAUAAGCUUAAUUUUUUUAAAAAAAGAAAAACACAAUGGUCGUCAAAUGUGGCCUAAUAUUUCAAGAUUAAUUAAAUCGAGAAAGUUCCUAGGAUCCGGUUAGAACCUCAACUCAUAAUAGUUGACAAUUACCCUUUCUAUCUCUCCAUCAAAUUCAUUUAAAAAUUGGUUUGAGUAUUAACGUUAGAACCAGAAAAAACACUUUCUUUAUUAUUGCGGCCAAAAUAGAGUAAACCAUUGGAUGAUGAACCAAGUCAAAACAAAAAUAAAUUUCCCAAUAGCAGAAUUAACAAUAAAUCAAUCAUCCUAAGAACCAAAUGAUGAAACAAAUCAAAUCACAACAUGAAAAUGAAAGAGAGAAGGAUAAGGAACCUGGUGACAGCAAUCGCAAGUAAAGGGCAAGAAAUCGAUCUGCUUACAUUCUGCAAAGUUGCAAUGCUUCCCGAGAUUAGGGAAUUCCGGGGUUCCCAUUACCCAAAUCAAAACCCCAAAAAUAUAAAAAUAUAUAUAUCAAAAGUGGGGUUGAAGAUUAUGAAACUGGAAAGGGGAAUUGAAAAUUGAAAAUUCUGAAAGCUUUAAGUUUCCGCGUAUUCAAAGAAACGCGAAAACCAAAAGCUUCAGAGAAAGAAGAAGAAGAAGAGUCUUUCAAAAGUCUUCUCAAUUGCUUUUGACCCUUUUCCCCCAAUUUCUGAUUUGGAUUAUAACAAAUUGUCCUCUAAUUCUUUUAUUUAAAUAUUGCGUUAAAAAUACUAUUUUAUUUUUAUCUUUAUCUUAUUUUGUUUUCUAACUUUUUUUAUUUUUUUUUUACAAUUGUAUUUCUUAAAUUGAUAAAUAAAAUCACUUAUUAUACCAAAUUAGAAUCUAAUUUUAUUUUUUUUUUCUCCAAAACUUAAAUCUCUCCCCUCCCUCCUCCUUCCUCAUUCUUGCUUUAUUAUUUUUUUUUUUUUUCAAAUUGGAAUUGGCUUUUCACCAUUUAUUUGUUUGUUUAUUUUGGAGGUGAAAUCUUGAACAAAUUAGAAUGACAUUGAAUAAAAAAUUAAAUUAAAUUAACAUAUUUGUAUUAGUAUUGGUAAAAUAAAUUACAAAAAUAUAAUAAGUACAAUAAAUUAAUAAUAAAUAAAAUACCUUAAACUUGACACGCUAAAAAACUUGUAUGUGGAUAAAAUUACAUCUAACAUAUGAGUUGAGAAAGUGAGGCUAACAACAAUGCGUGCUAAAAUGGUAACAAUCAAAAUCUCGAGUACUUUGAUAAAACAUCAAUUACCCUCUAGUUUUUAACUAAAAUUUAAAACCCUAGAUUAUUAAGAAUAAUUAUCUUAUUUGGCAGCCUAGUUGUGAGAACCUAAUAGCAUCUAAACUACUUGAUAAGAGCUAGCAUCGUUAUGUUUAAGAUUUGCUUAAUGCAACAGGUUCCUUUAAGGGUUUAAAGCACUAUUUUCAAAACAUAAUGAUUUUAUUCAUGUUUUAUCUAAUCCAAUAUAUCUCAAAUAGUUCUUUAGAAUAGGUUAAGGAGCAAAAAAAAUUUGAGGUAAGGGCACUUAUCUCCAGAAUCAGAGUUGGGGACGCCUACCUCUCAAGAAUAAAGAUUGAGGAUGCUCAUCUCUAAGAAUUGGAGUCAGUACCACCUCCCUAGAGUAGAUUCUUGGGCUAUGGUUAUUGUUAUUAAAAGCAGGGAUUUGAUUUUUCCUAAAUGUUUGCCAAGUAGUAUGCAUGUUAUCGUUUAUGAUUACUCAUUUAGCUCAUACUUUCAAAACAGUUUUCCACUUUUCAGAUAGAGGUCGUGUUCUCAAAGCCCGAUACGUCGUUGUCUGUCUGCUGAAUGAUUUUGUCUUUUCUUUUGUACUUGUUUUGCUAUUUGAAUCUUUGUAUAUUUGAUCUUUAAAUUAUCUCAAACUUAAGUUCAACAUGGGACCUCUUGUCCACAGGAACAUACAUGUGUCAGUUGAGCUAAGUUCAUGUUGGUAUCGAAACAUGUUUUCAUGUAAAUAUAAGUUAGUAUAUGUCUAUAUAAAACUUAUGUAACGUUUGUUAAUAAAUGGGAUUGAACUGCAGUUUGUGUUUAAGUUAUGUUUAUUAGCUUCCGCUUGCGUUUCAUUUAAAGGUUAUAGGUAAAAUGUCAACUUGUGUCGUUUAGAAGGGGAGUGGGUUGACUUUAUGUUGUCUCUCGGGUCGAGUGUAGGUGACCCGGGAGGAGUUAUGACAAUUCCAAUCUCCACUCAAUUUGUAACCAUUAAAAGAACUUGGACCACUCAUUGAGCUUGUUGUAAUUAUUUCUAGCAAACAUUCAAAGAACCAACUCUUUGGUUAUCCUCACGAAUUUUGAUACUCACAUUUUUUUUCUUUUCUCUCAUUAGUUUUUGCACAUUUUUCUUUUUCAUAUAUUUUUAUUCGUUUUUGUCUUGGUCCCAUACCUUUUGUCUUCCAAGUCACACACAACACGUUUUUCUUCUCUUGGAAAAAGUGGUACAAGAAGUAUAAUCAAAUAUUAUUUUGGGUUCUAAUGGACUAGAAAUGUAUGCACAAAGUAUGUCAAUUUCAAGUUCACUAGUGUCUACUCUCUCUACAUCGAGAUCAUGCAUUAACACAACAUUAUUAAUUAAGCACCUCUUUACUACUUUCCACCUUAUCAUAAAAUGCUUCAAUAUAGCAUAUGAACUAACACUUUUCCACUAAUGUAGUGACAUUUAAAUUGAGCUUAGAUUUAGUGUAACUUGAAGAUUUCCUUUGGAGUUGUCGUUCUAUAUGAAUGACAAGUACCAUUUCUUUUUUCAAAUCCUCACAUGGUCGAAUCUUUUGAGGAUCGACAAGCAUCUCAACAAACUCUUAUUAUGUCCAUUGUAGAAUCAAUCUACGGUAGCUUCCUCAUCCUCAAAUAUGUUAACCACUCAAGUCAACAACAUUUUCUCGUAAUAACUUUCCACACGUUUGGUCCCUUGUCUCGAAAUUUUCAAUUUGUAGAAAGAUUUUGAAACAUAACGUUUUUUGACAAUAAAUACCACCGUCAUGUUAGUGUGAAUUCUUCAACGUUAAAUUUUGCCUUUCCUCUUUCACUAUAUAGUGGUGGUGAUCAAAUAUAGCCCCAAAACAUUCUCCUCCCAAAGCAAAUAUCCACGUGGAUUAUUUAAAAUACUUCCAAGAAACAAUGGAGGUUUGUUUCAAUCAACAACACAUCAUAAUCACUCCCCAAAUCUAUUGUCUGACAUGACUAACAAAGUUCAGCUACUUAAUUAUAACUUCAAGUUCAACUAUUAAUUAACGUACUUGCAUGACAUUCUGCUUGACUUUACUGCUUCUAUUUCUUUUCAAGUUCUUACAUUUUUCUUCUCUUUUUUCUUCCUUCAAUCUCACAAAAUUUGGUAUCACAAUCUCUUCAUCAGCUUUUUUUUUAAUUUCUCCUUCACGAAUUUGAUUCAGCAAAAUUUGUGGCCAAAUUCACUUUUUAAAAAAAAUAUAAAUACUAAAGUCGCUUCCACACCAAAUUUGAACAAGAACGAGAAACUAGACUCGAUAAAAAAAAAUGUAAUUAGCUCAAACAUAUACCCAAUCUAAAGCAUAAGCUUGACUAUCAAAUAAUAUGAAAACACCAAGAUUUAAAAAUUAGGAAUCCAAUUAGUGAACUCUGAAUAUCAAAUUCAAAAUCUCCAAAUCAAUUUGACAACAAUCCAAAAAGAAGAAGUAUAAUUACCUUCUAAUCAAUGACCAUCAAGUCAAUACUAACCGUACUUAAUAUACCGAUAAAAGAAGAUAAAAUUACAUCAAAAUUAAAUAAAAUAUAAUUAAUAAAUUAGUAUCACGACUUGUUAGGAAGGAGUUGAGAGUGGUUGCACUACUGCAAGCACAAGUAAUGGUUUUAGUAAGAAUUAUGUAUUAUUGUUUAUUUACUUUGUGGGUUCAUGUUGUGUAGCUUCACUUCAACAAUAGAUUUGUAGAUAUAAUUUUUCUCCUUUGCUUAUAUAAAAUCUCAAGGUUUUGGAAUAUUUACUUAGAAACCCCAAAUGGCUCUCCUGCAAAUCUCUGCUCCCAGUCCCCAAUCCGAAUUAAUAAUAACAAAAAAAUCAUUUUUCUUACCAAUUUAAUGGAGUUCAUUAAAAAUAAUUAAUUUUUGUGUUAAUUCUCUCUCUAAAGGUUUUUAGAAUGGCAUUUUAAAAUCAAUUUCAUAUUUAUUUUCGUAAAUUCAAAUGCAAAAACUCCAUAUAAUAAAAAAGAAAUUGAUUUCGAGCAUUUAGAAAAAUGCUAUACAUCAAUGUCCAGUAUGAUUUUUUUUCCUAAAAAAUAGAGGCUUGACCUUCUAUCACAAGAAUAUCAACACUCAACGACAAUAACAAUAACAAUAAACAUAAGAGUAUAUUUACUACGCAAGUAUUUAGAAAAACAUAACACAAGAUUUCUUCAUCAACAAAAAUAUUACUUCAUCUAGUCUUGUAUAAGAAAGAUGCAUUAAUUCAUUUAAUUUUUAUAUAUAUAUAUUGAAAUUCAUUUAUUUUAUUUAAAGCAAAUUUGACCGAUCUACGUUUGUCCAUCUCUCUAUCUACUCUUACACUGAUAUUUUAAAAAUAUGAUCCAUCCAUAAUGACCAUCUUACCCGCAUUAGUUUUCCUUUACACACAAAUAUUAUAAACGCAAAUACUAUAAGAUCAUAGUUCUCCGACCCAAAGAUAUAGAACAUAGAACUAAGUAAAAACCACAAUCCAUAAUGACACAAAUCAGAUUCAUGUGUGAAGACCGAUCAUCAAAUAAUCAUUCAACAUCAUAAAUGCCCAUUGUGAAAUUCUUUCCUAGUGUUUAGCUUUGUGCAUUCGUAAAAAAGCUAUCUAAUUUUAAGACAGGUAAUAUUUUCUUCUUAAGAAUCAUUAGUGCAUUCAAAAUCAAGCUUUAUGCCAUUGAAUUCAGAAACAAAAAACAGAGUCAAGUACCCAUAAGAAAUAAAUAACACACUAUCCUUGAAAGUAAAUGAACUCAGACUGAAAAGCAUAUACUAUAGAGUUGUCCUAACAAAAACAUUCUUCUCUUUUCGAUUCAAAAGCAUACCAAAUCUACGCUGAUCUAAGCAGCACCCCUCUCGGCAUCCUCCAACAACAAUGCCUUUACGGUGGGUUUAGCCAACAGAUCGGUGUGCUCUUGGAAUGGAGAUUUGGUGAAGCGAGUCUCCCUCCAGAACUCGGGCGUCAGGAAACCAUAGGUUUUCAAUAGACAAUCAAAGGUAGCCUGCCAAAAAGAACACUUGUAACAACAGACAAAAACCAAAUCUGACUUACUAUCUAACAGAUCGAACAAUCUUACACUCCAGUUGAAGUUGAAGUUAAACAUAAACAAAUAGCAAAGCACAUAAAUUAAAUGUUCGUGUGACUAAACCCACUUUUAGAAGAAACAAACUUUUAUCAAUGGUUUCUCAUGCACUGUCUAUUGGCAUGCAAUUUCACUAUAAAUUCAUUCUAUGCGAUCUCAUCACAAGAAAUCACUGGAACUCUCUAAUUUAACUAUUCUAAACACGAACUCAACUACACCAACAACUGUAUUGCAUUUACAAAAUGCAUCCAACCUAUAAUUCUUACAAAAGGCAGCCCAGUAGUUUGCUUUAGAUACAACUAAUCCAGAUUAAACUAUCCAAAAAAUUUAACAUGAAAAUAAUGUAGGCUAAAAAAAACAAAACACAAAUCAAUUUCACAAAAUAUAUGCACACACAGACAGAAAAAUCUAAACGAAACACAGCCCGAUAUCCAUAAUCAACCACGAAUAGACUGCUAUUCACGAUGUCACAACCGAGCCUAAGUACAAAUCUGAAUUCAGAGUGCCCGAAAUGACAUAACACAGCAUAUUAUACUGAUAAUAGACACCAUAAAUUCCAGUGAACAGAUGAUAUAGAUAUUGCACCAUAUUACAAUAUACCUUCACAAAGUUUCCAAGUGUCUUAGUGGAUCCCCUUGAGGAAGUGAAAACAUCCUCAAUACCAGCGAAUUGAAGCACCUUCUUGGGAACCCUAGCAGCAACAAUACCAGCACCACGAGGAGCAGGAACCAUACGGACGGUGACAGAGCCACACUUUCCGGUGACCUUGCAAGGAACAGUAUGGGGUUUACCAAUCUUGUUACCCCAAUAACCCCUCCU